UUUUUUUUUUUUGUAAUGUUUUGGUGUGUGGUUGGGUGGUAGGUGGGUUAAAUCAGCUCUUAAAACUGUAUAAUUCAACAACAAUAACAAUAUACCCAAGUGUAGUCCCACAAGCGGGGUCUAGAGAGGUAGGAUGUACGGAGACCUAUCGUUUAACUUUGUAGGGUAGAGACUAUAGAAUCUAUUUCCGAUAGAUGCUCGACUCGGAAGAAGACUGUCUAACUCAGUAUUUCGAAAAAAACUGAAAAGCUCAAAAAAAGAGGCAAUGUUUCUGGGUCUUUAAUCCAGAAAUAAGCAGCACAGCGAACUAUUGUUUGAAGCGAAGUGCACAAUUUGAAAUGCAAAAUUAUCUUAUACAUAGGAUUGAGUACCUAUUUUAACAUAUUCACUGAUCAAUUGCAAAUUGAUAUCCAGUUGUUGAUUGAUUAUCGAUAAAAAAGUUAAUUUGCUGCCAUUAAUUUGGUAACUUUGGUUAUAAUGAACUUCAAUAGCUAGGGUCAUCUUUUUAUUUUCCAAGAAUCUGCCCGUAAAUUGAGAUUUGAGAAAAGGAACAAACGGACGAAUACACGAGAAAAAGAAUUGUUGACAGGAAGAGUAUAAGAGAGAAGUGGCGAGAAGCCAAUAUCGCAAGUAUCAACUUGAACACAGAAAUACAGAGUCAUUUGGAAUCUUUUGUAGAGAUAGACAAGAUGUUCUUUUUUGCUGUCUUUUGGAUGUAAUUGCAGCAACUUCAUAGUGCUGAUUUUUAACAUCUAUAAUAGUUACCAUUUAAAAAAAAGAAGGAAAGAAGCAAAUUAAGAGAAUUCAAGAAACAUGAGUUGAAGAAAAUUGAAUGCAACUUCUAGAAUUGUAAGACAAGGAAGGAACAUUGAAAUGUAGCUUAAGAGGACUAGUCCUAGUACCGAUAGCAUAAAGAAAUGUAUUUGAUGGGAAGAGUAUGCAUUUCAUUUACUUUCCAUUCGUUAUUGGCUGCAAAAUUGUGCAAUGUACUACUCUCUUUUGAGGAUAAUAAGUGGUCGCUUUUCUAACAUUUUCAUCAUAGAGAAGAUAAAAUUAAAAUUAGACCAUUAAAUGUGAAUGUGUAAAUUUCAAGUCAUGUAAAUUUCCUUAUAAACAUCCACUAUUAUGUGAGUGUUUUGUGAAUUCGGUGAGGUUUUAGCUUAUAUAAUGUGACAGGUUUUGAAGUAGUGCAAAUGUUAUUGCGAUUAAUGUUUAUCUUGUUGACCUUGUUAAAGUGGUGUAGUUUCUCUAGAUUUUGGGUUUAAGGUUUCUUUUUUGUGCUGAAACGAAGUCAAUGAAUUUCAGCUAAGAUAAAGCUUAUGUCUUAAUCAGAUGGAGAAUCUAAACGGCUUAGUUCCUGACAUCCCUAUACAAGAGCAGAAAGACAAUGCUGCUGCUUCUGAAAAUUUCGGUCGAAGUGUUGAUGAAAUGGUUGGGAAGGUUGAUCAGGUAACUUGGUGCUGAGGAAAAUUGUAUACUUGGUUGUUGUAUGCUAGUUGACAUCCAAAUGGAUAGUAAAUCUGUUCAAACAUUCUUUGAGAUUGUCUUUUACUAUUUUUUUUGAAAUAGGAGAUUGUCUUUGUCUAUUGUACUUUACAUUGUUGUUUUUUCAUAUUAUCAUAUAGUUUGUCCACAUGAUCUUAACACGCUAUUUCUAGCUUAUUUCUAGUGUGUUAUCUGUGAUAAAUUAUUAAUAUAUAUUUAAUAAAACAACUGUUAUUUCUAUGUUUUUUUAAAUUUUGUAUAAUGAUAGCCUGAUCCAUAUAGCCGAAUUUGUUGAUGUACAAGUUGUUUUAGAUGAUACACAAUUAACAAUUCAGAAAAAUGAUACACGAUUCAAAUUGUCCACUUGAUAAAAGUGUUCAUUCUGAUCGACAUUAUGGUUGCCUGUAGUAUGUACAAUUUUUUAUGUGCAAAAGCUGCAUUCUAAUAGGAGAAAGUGUAAGGCAAAGAGAUUAUCCAUUGCAUCUCUCAAGUUCCUUUUUACUUAAAGAAAAUUGAGAAAAAAGAAUAUCGGAACUUUCUUUUGAUAGUAUGCUCCACACAAGAAGAUACACUUAGGUACUCACCAAGAUUCCUUGGCAAGAGCGUGCAAAAUGAAGAUAUAGGGGACCAUAAGUGUAAUCUCUUCAGUUUUUGAAACCUUGUCUUGGGAGUCAUAUAUGGUGAAACAAAUAGGGAAAGCAUGGUCAAUUGGAAUGAAGCCAAACCAUGUUAGACAGAUAAAUUAGUGCACAAGGCUUGGGCUCACUGGGGGUAGGAAUUUAUGAAUUUGCUUGAUCAGAGACACAAUCUAUUUACCAUUGUAUGAGCGUGACCCAUAGGAUUUUUGCUUUUAUAGUUUACUUUUUCCUGUUUCUAUUUGUUUUUCUUUCAAUCUUAGGCAGGAAAAGGUUGCUUGUUAAGCUAAAUUUUCUUUCAUUAGUGAUCAGAUCACCUCAUAGCUUCACUCUUAAUGCUCUUUGAAAAAUCAUUUCUGUUAGAAAGCUUUUGCUCGUAGUUCAUAAAAAAUAUAGCAGAUGUUGUUUCUCUUGGUAUUGUUACUCUCAUCAGACUAUUUCUGUUUUACCAGCACACAAACUGUAUAUUACCCAGAAUUUGCAAUAUAAAAGAUAGCAUCUAUGCGCUGAUAGCUCAUGUAUUUCUGUUUUCAUGAUUACAAUUGCUCUUAAAUAUAAUCUGGUCACAAGUUUGUUACAUCAACAGCUUGAGCAGAGACUGAAUGAGGUUGAGCAUUUCUAUUCCAAUACUAGUAAAAAACAAUCAAACACGCCAAGAGGUGGCUCUAUUCUGAAAGACAAAGAGAAACAGAUUUCUAGCUUUAGAAGGCGGCAGCACGAUGCAUCACGUAGAGAAGCAGCUGGUUCCAGGAGAAUGCAAGAACUUAUGCGCCAAUUUGGUACUAUAUUACGUCAGGUAAUCUCAUUGUUUUUUCCUUGCCUUGACACCUUUUUGUCUGUCUAAAGCUAGUGUGCUACUAAAGCGUAACUUCUGUGAUCCUUCAUACUUCUAACGAUUGUUAGAUGAAAUCAUCUUGUAUCCCGAAGCAGUACUGUAAAGAACACAAGAAAAGGUUUGAGAAAAUACUAAAUAGUGGUACAUGCUGGAUUUGCAGAAUGGAAAGUUUUCUGAUAAACAUUGAAGCUCCUGAUAAGUGUUGAAGAGAUGUUAAUACGGUUAAGCUAGUAUUUUUUUUGUCAUUGUGAUUUCCUGUUACCUCUAAGAGUAUACAAAGUUUUGAAAUGCCUCAUGUCAGUUGCUCACUCUUUGGUACCGAUGAUGUUUUUCUCUUUUUACUUUUUCUACGGAGGUACAUAUCAUUGUACUUGUCCUGCUGUUGAUUAUGCAUUCUCUUCCUGUCUCUCCUUUGCAAGUAAGCUUGCUGAUUUACCAAUUGAAAGAUGUAUUUUGUCUGAUCUUUGCCUUCAUCCUUCUCUGUCUUUGUACCUUUCUUUAGUUUAUUUCUUCUUACCAUAGGAAAUAAUGGUAAAAGAAAGAAGGGUAGGGCAUCUGAGAAUAUUAUGGUGGUGCACCUUGUUUAAGAUCGAAUGUAGAUUUGCUCCAGUUAAUUUAUUUAUACUCAUUACUUAGUCUAUUUGUCAGAUCACUCAGCACAAGUGGGCAGAACCUUUUAUGGAACCCGUGGAUGUCAAGGGUCUUGGAUUGCACGAUUACUUUGAGGUAAAAGCUUGGAAUUUUCUUGUCCGUGUACUUAUUGUAUCUAUGAUGUUCUUAGGAAUCAUAUGCUCCUUUUAUUUCUGCUAAUACAUCAUGGGAUUUCUAGGUUAUUGAGAAGCCUAUGGACUUCAGUACUAUCAAAAACAAGAUGGAAGCAAAGGAUGGUUCUGGCUAUAAGCAUGUCCGAGAGAUAUGUGCAGACGUUAGGCUAAUAUUUAAGAAUGCAAUGAAAUACAACGAGGAAAGGGAUGACGUUCAUGUAAUGGCGAAAACCUUGUUGGGCAAAUUCGAGGAGAAAUGGUUGCAGCUUUUGCCCAAAGUUGAUGAAGAGGUAUGACUCAUAUCCAUGUAUUAUCUAUAGUAUUUUUCUUCAGCAUCUCAUGUAAAUUGCUAAGAUAAUUGAAUCAUUUUCUUCUAAGGCUAUUGAUAUAUGCUAAAUGAGGUUUUUCAUCAAGAAUAUGCUUGUAUGAGAUUAGGAUAUUAAUCGGAUUUUUAAGUAAAUGAUUGAGAGAUUAAUAUAUAGAACUACUGCUCGUAGGAAAAACGGCGAAAGGAAGAGGAAGCAGAAGCCCAACAGGAUAUGCAGCUCGCUCAAGAGGCUACUCAUGCAAAAAUGGCUAAAGAUUUAACUAUUGAGGUAGUUAAGGCUCAGAUUCCUUUACACGCAAACAUAAAAGUUUAGUCAUAUUGGCCUAACUGUUUAUGGAUCUUCCUCUUCACACAUUAAAUUUAACACCCUGUAGAUAAUAACUUAUACUUAUCUUUUGAAUUCCAGCUUGAUGAGGUGGACAUGCAACUGGAAGAACUCAGGGAAAUGGUGCUUCAGAAAUGCAGGUUAGAACUUUAACAAACAGCUCUCUUCAGUUAAAUUGUGCAUUUAUUAAUUUUAAAGUAGCUGAUUGCUUAUAAAUAUACCUUGUACUCUAGUCCUUCCUUUCAUUGAAUGGGUUACCAGAUAUUCUUUUGAUUGAAUCCAAAAUAUUACCUAAAAUGAUCCAUGAAUUUUCUCUGUUUUGUCUGAAAGAUGAUAGAUGUUUCUAUGGUACAAUCCUUUUCCUUGUUGAACAUUGGGGUGUUUUUAAGAAAAUCUCCGUAACAUAUGGUGCUAGUAAUUGGUGAAAACCCCAUGAACAUGAUUUUUUGUUGGCAAAAAUGGUCAGACACUGGAAAUAAAUAUAACUAAUGCCUAUACGUUGGCCCAGUUAUGAAGGAAGGUGGAAAAGAAAUGAAUUUUAGGAGUCUUGUCCCUGGAUAGGGAGGGGAGCAGUUGUAAUGCCUGUUAAUUGGUUGUAAAUUGUAAUAUAUUAAGAACAAACAAUUCAAAUGGUAAAGGAAAAAUCUAUGCUAUGACCUUUUUCCAAUAGUAAGGAGAUGGAUAAGCAUUCGCUGGGAAAUCAAAGUCAAUAGUGAUUGCCUGCUCAUGACACGGUUUCGAUAAUGAAGCUUCUUUUGUUUUGCCUCCUGGCUCUGGUUGGCUUGCUUAUGUGGAGUGUAAAAUAAGUAUGUUGGACAAACCGGUCAUUGUACAAGAUGCAGAUGCUAUAAUACUAGACACAGUAGAGAAUUUGCACCAUCUGUAAUUACACCUGAUGCACUGGCUUAAUGGAAGUUUUUAUAAGACUUGUUAUUACUUGUUAAAAAUACUAUCUAAUAGCAAAGGUAGAAGUCAUAUAAUCAGCGAAUUUAGAAUGAAAGGUGAAACACAAAAAUAGCAGGCAAACAGGAAAUGCUCCAAGUACAUUUUGGGCCAUAGAUAUGCUUAUGCGAUACAUUAGUAUGUCACACUCAUGCUCCAGAUUCAACAAGGAGGCAGGGAAUGUGGCUAGCCUCUAUAACAACUCGCUUAGAUGUGUGUUGCAUAUGUGAUUUAUUGAUAUAUUCUGUUUUUAUGUGAUUUGAAUUUAGGUUUACUGCAGUAUUUGUCGCUAAGUUUCUAAUACAUAUUUCAGAAAGAUUUCAACGGAAGACAGGAAACAACUUGGGAAUGCGCUCACAAAGCUGUCUCCUGAAGAUCUUAAUAAGGCACUAUUGAUUGUGGCACAGAAUGAUCCUGCUUUCCAACCAACAGCAACAGAAGUGGAACUUGAUAUGAAUGCUCAGGUCAUCGUUUGUGAUCAUUUCAUAUAUGCAGCAUUUCUAGUUCUUAGUCUACUCUUGCUUGAUAUGACAUGAAGUACUGACCUUUAUGCAGAGUGAAUCCACAUUAUGGAAGUUGAAAUUCUUCGUACAGGACGUGCUACAUGCACAGGGAAAGAGCCCAGCAAGCGUCAAAACAAACAACGUCAAUACCAGUAAUCUCCUUAACAACAACAACAACAAACGCAGAAGAGAAAUUUACGAUGUACUCGCCAAAUCUUCCCAAAAAAGGAGUAAAAAGCCAUCCUGAUUUGUCAUAACCAACUUCUUCUGAUCACUUUUGGAGGUGUAAAUGUUUUGAGUCGUUGGGGACACGAUAAUCGAUCUAUCUUCAACGUUGUUAAUACCUCAGAAAGGACAGAGAUAGCCAUUGUAGUAAGUAGGUUUUGUAUAGGAAAUUCCUGAUGGAUAUAUCUUUACUUGGAAGCCUUCAAUUGCAGAAAUACAUAGCAAUAUUGCAUUAGCAAGUUCUUGAAUGCUUCGUUAUAGUAUAAAGUCUUAUCGACUGUACCAAUAUCUGGCCUGCUUGACGAAUGUCAGUGAUCGGAGAUAGGUGAAAUCACUGGGCUAUAACAGCUUGUUCUGUUAAGGGUGUCUAAAAUAUAUUAUUUAAUUAUUUUGUGUAUCAUAUUACUUGUAUAUACGAUAUAUUUUUUCCGACAACCUGACCACCAUGUAGCUACGCCACUGUAAAAAGAAAUAGAGCUAAUUGCAUCGGAAAAAAUAGUAAAACUAGAAUAUCAUUUUGUUUUGAAGACUCAAAGCACACCAUGAUAUUGAAUAAUAGGGACCAUGAAGAUAACAAAGGGAAUAAUAUUGAUUUUUCACCAAAGUACAUAUUUUCAAAAUCUUAGUACUAGAACUAGCAAAGAGCUCCACAAAAUAAUAUGCAAAAAUAGUAAAUCAGAAUUUUAGAAUAAAAAAAAUAUAUCAUUUUGGGAUCCAUUUAUUUUUUUUAGGAAAAGACACGAAUAAGUCCUAUAUUUUUUUUAUCACCGACUUUUAAGAUAGUGAUUGUUUUUCUUGAUAUGCUAAUUCAACUGUUGUAUAAUUAAAUACCAGAGAAAUUUUUUUGACUAAUGGGGGUUGGGUUGGGUAGGACGGAAAAUAAUUUCUUUUAUGAAAAAUAUUUUCAAGAAAAAAUUUAUUUAUUUUUUUGUGUUUAUACGUCAGCAAAAAAUAUUGAUUAUGGGAAGUGGGUUAGGGAUAGGGAUAAAGAUGAGGUGUGUUAAAUUUUAUGAGAAUACAAUCAAAUAUGAAAUGACAUUUUGUAAAACUUAUUUUUCCUACUGUCAUUAGAGAAGUCAUUUUCGUAAUUUUAAAAAUGAGCCACAUAGAAUGAGACAAAGAAAAUAAUAUUCAUUCGUCUCAUUCAUUUUACAUGACUGUAUAUAAUUGAAAAAAUAAAGUUUUAAAUUAAGACUUGACUUGUCACAUAUAAGCCAAAAUUUAACGAUAAAAUUAUAUUAAAAUACUAAUGUUAAAUUUUUUCUAAGUUUGGCAAUUUUUUGUCCUCAAUUGCUUUCAAUAAAAAGAAUAAAGAAAAAUAAAAAAAGGUUAUGGUCACUAUAAGUUACGUAGGAAUUAAUAUUCUCAUAUUUUGCCAUCGAGUCUAUCGAUUUGUUAGAAUAUCUUAAUCGAAUAUAUUAUUAUAUAUUUUCACUUGACACGAAAGAAUAAAUAAGCAUUUCAUUAUAAUGCGAUAUUUUUUUUUUAUCAAAAUCAAAAUAAUUUAUCUCGACUAUGCUAUUAUUGAAGACCCAAAAAUAAUUGGAAUAAUUUAGUUUUUGAAAACCCUUUUGGGUUUCAUUAAUUAUCAGAAUAUGUCUUUUCAACCAAACGACUUUAAUUUAAUUAUGAAUUUUUUUAGAAAAUAACGUUUUGAAAACUUUUAUUAAUAAUCAACGGGUCCUACCUUUUUAUUGUAUGGUCUAAAUUAUUGGAUGUGCAUUAACACAAGUCACUUUCAAAUAUGUGAAGCAUGGCUUACAUAUAAUAAUUUAUUAUAAAAAAUUAUGUUCGAAUUAUUUUAGCUAAAACUCCAUAAAUCAUUUAUAGUGUGUUUGGUGGCGAGUUCAAAGCCAAAAGAGCGACUUUUUAAGGAGAGAAUAGCAAAACGAAUAAUUCUUUUGAAAAAAAAGUCGAAACACAUAAAUCACUUGAAUUUCAAAACAUCAUUAAAAUAUUUUUUCGAAAUACCAUUGUGUUUGCUAGUAUAUAUUGCUAUCGAUCUUUAUUAAAUAUAUUUUUUGGUGAAGAUUACAUACAUGACUUUCACUCUCCAAUCAAAUUUAUAUAAAACAGAUUUUCUAAGAAAAUAUUUUUCAUUAUACCAAAUACACAUAAAAUGUGUGUAUAUAUCUGGCAUUAUAAUAUUUUAGCUAAUAUUUAUGACUAGAUAUACUUAAUUGCCAAACUUAAUUACAAUGAGAUUAUGGUAGAUUAUGUUGCACUAGUUUUGUUUUCUUGUUCCAUUAGGUUUCGUUCAUUUUCAUUAAAAUUAAAAUGUUUGACUGUAAAUAUAUAUUUAAUUAUUAAAAUAUGCAUUAAAAUUUAAAUAAUUAAAUCUAAAAUUUAAAUAAUUAAGAUUAAAAUCUCUAUUAAAUACAAACAAAUAGUGCCUUAAAUAUUAAUUAAAUAUUAAUAUCAAUAUCUUAUUUGUUACUACUUUUGCUCUUUAGUUUUCAAUUCACAUAAUUGUCUUAAUUUUUUUUAUGGUGAAAUGACCUGAGAGACCAUUGUACUUGAUUCUUUUUGUAAGUUAGACCCUUGUACUUAUUACUUUACCAAAUUGACCCUUAAACUUAUUUAAAUACAAUAUUAUAAACCCUUUUCUCAUCUGAUAUGUGUGCAUGUAAUACACUCAUUUUAUACAUGAAAUACCACGUCAUUUUUUUAUUUUUUUUCUAAUGACAUAAUGAAAUUAAAAUUUAAAAAUAAAUAAUAUUAGAAAAUAAAAAGUGCAAUUUUCUCUCUUUUUUCCCCUUCCUACUUCAUCUUCUUCAUUCUCACCCACCCUCUACGCCUCACCCCAAAAAUAAAAAAACCAUCAUUUUCAUCUUUCUUCACAGUUCACACUUCACACUUCACACUCAGAAGUUUUCUCAAUCAUAAAAUAUGAUAGAUUGUAAUUAGCUCUUGCACAUGCUUUAGGUUUUAUUUAUUUUAAUUUGAUAAAGAAAAAAUCAAGAAAACUUCAAGUUAGGAAAAAUAUAUUUAUGAGUAAAUUCAAUUAUGGGGUGGGGCUGAAGAAGAAGAGAGAAGGGGUGGGGGUGGGGUAGGCUGAAGAAGAAAGGUUUUGAGAUUAUUUAUUUUUUCUUAAUUUAUUGUUAUUAUUAUUUUGUCUUAUAAUUUUGAUAAUUUUUAAAUAAAAAUAUUACAUUCAUUUGCUUUAAAAUGCGUGAGAUCGCAUAUUUGUCAAACUCAGUCAUUUUAAUGCCACAUAAGCUCGAUCAAUGGUCAUAGAAGUUUAGAAAAUAGAGUUUCAUCGAAUUUAAGGGUUCAUUUGACAAAGUGAUAAGUAGAAGGGUUCAACUGACAAACGGAGCCAAGUACAUGAGCCUCCUAGGUCAUUCCACCUUUUAUUUAUUUAUGUUGCACUUGUAUAGUUUUUUUUUUAAUGUUAGUUACUAUUGUUUCUAUUUUAUCAGUAUUCCGUAAAGUUAUAUUAUUGUCAUGUCACGCCAAAUUAUCGAAGAAGUCAUAUGAUUAUUUUAUGAGCAUUUUCUUAUUGGUUAAACUGAAAAUCAAACCAUUAAGAAUCAUAAUCGAUAAAUUAAUAAACUGAUAAAAUAUUUUAUUAAUUUAGCGUAUUUAAAAACUGAAAAUUGAUAAACCGAUAUCGACCCUAGAAAAUGUGACUUCCUCACUUUUAUUGGCGUUUAUCGUUUCCUUCGCAAUCAACAUUUAAAUCUUUAUUUUCUUUUGGUAACAACUGAACAUUUAAAUCUUAUUAUCAAUUUCUAAUACUCAAAAUUUACAUCAAACACUAUUUGAUGUAUAUAUAUGCUAACACAAUUAUUUAGUGAAAUAUUUUCCACUAACUACUCAAAUAAUAAACAUUGUUUUCUUAAAAAAUGACUUUGAUAGUAACAAUUGACAAGCAAUAACUCUGACGAUAAGUUCUAUCAAAAUUUUAGUGAUCAAAGUUAUUUGAUAUUUUUACAAGUAAAAAAAUAAUAAAUAUUCUGUAAAAUUAGUUAAGGUGUGUAAAAACUAAUAAGAAUAUCACGUUUAACACAAUAAAUAUCCGAUAUGGUCAUAUGGCCUUCCACCACCCGUGAUCAAUUAAUACUUCAUCUGUUUAUUUUUAAUUUUCAUGUUAUGCUUUUCGAAAGUCAAUUUGACUAAUUUUCAAAGUUAAAUUAGAUUACGUUAAUUUAAUAUUUUAAACAAAAAAUUUAGAUAUUCAAAAACUAUACGAAAAGUAUUAAAAAUUCCAAAAAAAAAUUCAUAUCAAUAUGAUGAAAAAAUACAUCCUAUAAAAUAUUAGUCAAAGUUAUUAUUAUUUGACUCUAAAAAAGAAAACUAUGAUAAUUAAAAGUGGACGGAGAUAGUAUUAUCUACCAUAAACGACAUUAUGAUCACAAUCUAUAAAUUAGCUAAGAUAAUUAUAGUUAGGAUAAUUGCCUAACUUGCAUAUGUUCCAAAAAAAUAAAAUAAAAUUUGGCGUUACGUUAGCUCACAAUUUGUAAACGUAGGAAGUUAGAUAGAGUAGGAUGGACCACAAUUUAAUUUCCUUUUAAUUAAUUAAGUUUGAAAUUGGAAUUUAACUUGAUUCUACCUAAAUAAAUAGGCUUAACAUAUCGAUAAUCCUUUAAAUUUAUCAAUAUUUUUUUUAGAUAUUAAACUAUGAUUUAUUCUAAUUAAUUAGCAUCUGAACAAAUAAUAAAAUGUUUUAAUUAGAUAUUUUCGGCUCAAAUUUCAGAAAGAAAAAAUAUGUGCACGUGUUCGUAGAUGUUCAUUAUGUAAUAAUUCAACCACUGAAAAUAUGUCACCUCCUUUAAUUAUACGCAUUAGCCAUAAUAAGUUGUAGAAUCUCCUACUUGAUCCAUCUGAGGAUGAUACGUACUAUAAAAUAUUUCACCUCCUUUAAUUAUUUAAAUUUUAAGUAUGACAAUAUGACAUAAUUUAUAGGUAUACGAUAAUGUCGUAGUAGUUUGAUUUUUUUUAAUAGUUAAAAUUGAACCAACCCGCCUAAAAUCAAUUUUUUUUAAUACUAAAUCAAACAAUAGUCAGAUUUUGUUUUUCUUCAGCUUGACUCAGAUUGUCGAUCGAUUUGGUGUGAUUUAUCGAUUUUCUUUAUACUUCUUCAACUGUAGAAAUAAAAUCUUUCUAUUAUCUCACCCUCUUAUAUAUUCUAAUAUUUAUCAAAUUAUAUUGAGUAUGUUUUAUUACGAAACUAUCACCCAAAUUUGAAUAUUUUAUAGGAGUGCAAUUAUGACUUGGCUCAUCCAAUUUUGAAUUCGUAAUAAGUGUAUUUUGAAUGCAUGGAAGCUUGUGGGGUAAUAAUAUAAUAAUUUCUACAAAUAUUUUUGUCAGUUUAUAAAUCUCUACGUGCCAACAUUUUUCUUAGCCUCCAACGUUAUUUUCAUGCCUAAAGUGAAGUCAUGGGUAUGUACGGAGAGUGUCGAUUACGGAUUCGAUCGAAUUCAGUAUUAAAUAUGUAUGUAUACUAUUAAUUUACCAAAUUACAAUUAAUUUUAGAAUUCAAUUAUUUUUAAAAAUUAAAAUCUAGAACUCAUGAAGCUUCAAGUUUUGACUUUGUCUCUAAAUGUGAUAUCAUAUUUCAAAGUAUCAGCAUAAUAUUUUUAUAUUUAAGAUUCGAGCUCGAAACUUCUGAUUAAGAAUUCAAAAAAAUCUUAUAUAUCCAUACGACCAAUCCUUGUAUUUUAUUUUAAUUUAUUGUCUUAUAGGAAAUAUUGAAGCUUUGCUUAUUGAGAGAAAAAAAUAUUAUUUCUUUACUUUUCUUGUUUUGUUUUUGGUCAGAAAUACGACCAAAAUAUAAUAUAAUGCAUACUGACUAAAACUUAAAAUAUCUACAAGAAAAUUAAUGUUACAAGUAAAAAGUUCUUCUCCUUCAAGAAUUGAUUAAUUCUGGAAGAUUAAUUCAAGAUGGUCAAACUUUAAUCAAAUCAACUAUAUUAAAAGCAACAUAAACCAAUUGGGACAAAAGAAAUACGUAAAAUGACGAAUAAUUUGGACAAAAAGACCGUUAAAGUAUGUAGUGCAAAUGGAUGAAGUUGUUCCUUUCUUAAUCAGAAGUCUCGAGUUUGAAUCAUGCAUGAAUAUAAAAAAGUUCUUAGUAGGGAGCAUUUCCUCAUGAAUAGGGCCCUACACGGCACGAAUACGAAUAUAAUCAAACUGUAAUACGAGUAUCGAACACCUAAAAGUUGGACCAAAAAGGAUCGAGUUCUUUUUUUCUUCAUAUUUUUUCUUUUUUUCUCUUUUGAUCAAUAAGUUGUCAUCUUCCUAUCUAGCUUUAUAGUUGGUUUGUCGUUCUCCAUGGUUCUUUCUGAUGUAAUGUAUGCGAUGUGCAUUUUUUUAGCUUUUUCAUUAAAAAAAAUGUCAUUUUUAAAAUUUAAAAUAAUUUAAUUUUGAUUUAACAUUUCAUCUGUAGUGAGAUGAUUUAUAUAGUCAUACAAAUAUUUCAACUUAUUGAUCUCAAACUACAAGUUUCCAAAGUCAUAUUUUUUUCCGUUUCCAAUCAAGCACACCACCACAUAAAUUGAGACAAUUCAAGUAUAUAUCAUUAUUUAGUACUCCCUCUGUUCUAAUAUAUUCAUGUGUUAUAAUUUGAAUUUGUAGGUGAUUUAAAAAGGAAAUAAAUAAAAACAUACAAAACUUAUGGUCCAAUACUUGUAUAGCCAUAAAACUUUUGAAAUGCGUAUGUAAACAUAUCUCAACACUUGUACGAUUAUAAAAACUACUCAUCAAAUGUAAAUUUAGAAAUAAAUGUAAAUAAACUUAAAUUGUUUCAAAUUUAAAAGUGUCUCAUUCUUCUUCACACGAAAUUAAAUGAAAAGUGUGUCACAUACUUAGGCUGAAACAAAAAGAAUAAAUAUCUAUGUAGAUAGUAAUGACCAACAAUGUGGCCACAUAAUCAACUGAACGAAGAAUAAUUAAUUAAACACUCUUUAUCGAAAAAUUAUGUUUUUCCAAAUACCAAUAAUAAAAUUUCUAGCUUAGCUAUUGGUGACGACUACUUUUUACUUUUAGGUACAAGAAAUUGAUUAAUAAUCAUAACUUUAAACUGUGUCCAAUUAUACCCAUUUCCCCAUGAACUAAUCAACGGAUAUAUCGAUCAUCAACAUACAGAACUAUUUAAACAUAGAAUUUCACAUUCUACCAAUCAUCUUACAUAAUAUAACUAAAACAUGAGCAGUUCUCAUUUAUGAUCAUAAUAAUAACUUUGAGACUUUAGUUUGAGACUUUUAGUUAAUGAAAUAGAGUUAUUGGUACGGUGUCUGGCCAGUUUGAGCGCAUUUUAAUUAUCGUAAAACAUAGGUAGCCUGUUUGUUAGUAUAUCUUUGGGUUAUUUCACUCGCACAAGUAAUGUCCAGCCCUCUUUUGCUAUUGCUAUUGUACUUGACUCUAUCGGCUCGGUGUUUUGCAAGGAUCUACUCUUACUCAAUAGUGUUUAAAACUCAAUACACAUAAUUGAAAUAGAAUCGAUUGACUUGAAUUCGACUUCUCUUUAGUAGCUCGAGUUACACAUUUAAGAGAAGAUGAGUAGUGAGUUGAUUUAUGUUUCCAUUCUUUGGGGGCUUUGGGACUGACCGUCUGUAUCUUUUUCGUAAUUGAGAAGGAGAAAGGAGUCUAAAUCAAUGGAUAUUAAUGAACCAUUAUUGAUGAACAUUGCAUAUGACAUAAUCAAUUCGAUUUAAGCUCUGACUCUAACAGAAAUUGCUUACUUUCCUAGUACCAAAGCAAAGCGCAUGUUUUUUUUUCAUACUAAUUAACUAGCACGAAUAUUAAAUAUCUUAAAUCUCUAUAUACUAAUUUGAGAUAUAAAAAUAAAUCAUGUAAUAUCUCAUCUCACAACCCCCUCACCCCCACACCCCACCUAAACACAUACACACACUCCAGUCACUAGCUAGGGUCUUCAGCAUUCCCUCCUUGCAGUUAAGAUAAAGACUUCGGACAUGGCCAUCUCCUAUCAGUAUAUGCAAGGUUUAGAAAUAAAUUCAUAGUCAUAUAAUUGACCGACGAUUACUAGCAAUUCUAACUUCAUAUAAACGGAUUACAACCUGCAAUCCAUACUAAGGACGGAUUUUCGGGAUUAGCUCACCCUCACGGGACACCAUCCACACACCCACCCACCCAAGACACAUUUACACGUCCAUGCAAACGGUUUGCAUGCACAUAUGCGAUGAUCGAUGCAUGAAUAUAGUGGUCUGUACACACAUCCCAAAAUCAUGAAAAUAUCAUGACAAAUUAAUAACAACCUAAUAUAUAUAUAUCACAAAUAAAAUAUACAGUAAAACUCAUUAAAGAAAUAAACAAUAUAAUAGUAUAUAUGAAAGCUGGCCGUCUAUAGCCAGCACGUAACAUUCAUGAGUCAUCUAAUAACAACAACACGAAAUUCAUCAAUAACCAAAAUCAUCAACAUAAACAAAAAAAAGUACUUAAUAAUCAAAACAACAAUAACAAUAAUAAAACCAUAUGAUUUUUUUCGCUCCAUUUCGUCUCGUCUCACGCCUCCGCCUUUUUUUUAAAAUGUCACAUCUGAAUCCACUGCGCCAGUUGCGUCGGAUUGACAAUACCAGGAAUGUGGGUCCCAUCACUCCUCAACAAGCUCGCUAUCUCAACAUAAUUCUGAUUCGGCUUCGGCUCCGACUCUUCCGGGCUGGACUUUCUCUUCUUCGGGUCAGCUAAAGCAUUAACCGGAGCAGCAGCUCUAGGUCGAGCCGGGUCAAAUUUCUGACCCAAUAAAGUUCCUUUAGUUAAAUACUCAUAAGCCAUAUACCCGGCUAAAACUGAAUUAGGCAUUUGACCCUUCUUCUUCGGGUCGGGUUUAGCGAACGACGUCGUAAGAUUAGCAUUACUAACGGGCGUUAGUGGAUUUGACGGUCUUGGAGACGAAUAAAACGUGUCUCGGUCUUUUCGCUUCCGUGAUGACUCGUCAAGAGUUAAGAUUCGCCGUGAGUGAUGAUAAUUCAUCCUAGCCGUCCAAUCUUAAUCUACAGCAUGCCACGUCACCACACUUUUAAAUAAAUGAAAAAAAAACGAUAAAAAAGGAAAAAAGGUGAAGUUACGGUUAAGGAAUUAUGGGGUUUGGAAAGAUACAAUUAAAGCAAAAGGUUAGAAAAGUAAAUUCACUCCAACAGGUACAUUUCUCGUUGAGAAGAAAUAAAAAAUAAAUAAAAAAAGUAAGUAAAUAAAAAUAUAUAUAUAUAUAUAUAUAUUUUUCAAUUUAAAAAUACAGUAAAAAAGAAAAAUUGAAAGAGAAAUUACUGGAGAAGAAGAAAAGAAAGGAGGGGUAGUGAGUUUGACGGUAAGUCGACGAAAGAUCUAGACAAAGAUCACCGGAUUCCGGCGAGAAACGGUAGAUUCCGGUGUACGGACGGUGGUUUUAGCGGUGGCUCCGCCGCGGAAGAGGAAGAAUUACGACCGGAGAGAAAUAGAGAUAUAGAGAGAGAGAGAGAAGAGAGAGAGUUUGGGGGAAUGAAAGAUUUAUAUAAAGGAAAAAAAACUGAAAAGGGCAACAAGUGUGUAUAUAUAUACCUAAUUAAUGAAUUUACCCUUGGUUUUGUUAAUUAAUAUCUAAAAUGCCAUUGGGUUUAAUGGAUUGGAAUGGAUAAUGAAGUUUGUUUGAAAUGACAUUAAAGUCCUGGCGUUUUUGCCGCUAGAUGGGUGUUUUGGGAAUUGAAAGAUGAUGGAUAUUUUUGGAAUUAUGAAUUAAUUAAGGGGUAUGGUAUUUUUGUAAUAUAAUGUUGAAUUGAGGGUAAUGAUAUUGGGUGUAAUAGAAUUUUAGUGCCAGCGGUGCUAGCUCCGUGUCUUUAGCAUUGCUCCUAGAGGUCCCAUUUUAGUACCUCUUUGUAUUUUUGUAAAACUAAUGGGGGUAAAAUUAAAAUAAAUGAAACUUUGGGCACUUUUGUUGUAUUAUUGAAAGAAAAAAACUACUACUUUAUUAGAGGUCAAGUCAAUUAAUAUAUGAGGAAGAUCUUAAUACAUAAAUUAUUAAAUACUUAUAAAUACAAAAAGUAAUCUGAUUACAAAAGUGAGGUUUGGAGAAGAUAGGUAUCGUUUGAUCAUAUAGUUAUUCAAUUAAAAUUUAUGUGAGAUCCUGAAAUAAUAAUAAUUAUUGAUGUAAAUAUUAAUCGCGUAUAUUUUUUGUAUAAUCACUUUACAAUAUGGUGGUAAUUGGAAGAUAAAUGAAUUAUAAAAUAUGUCUAAGAAAAGGGAGAAAUGGGUGAAAGAGAAAGAUCUAAGAAAUUAUGAAUUUGUUAUUUUAUGAUGAUUGUAAUAAGUGAGCAAACGAUUACAAUAAUCUUUUGUCAAAUAAUUGUUGUCUUGGUGUGAUGGAUUUAAUUAGUACGAGGAAAUUACUUUCUAUAAUUUGAAUAAACCAAAAAUAAAUAAAAGUUACAAAAAUUCUACACUUUAUUUAUCGAUUUCAUAUAUUAUAUUCUAUAAAUCUCAAGGGAAAAGAGUCAUAAUUAAAAAAAACCUUUAUAAUGCAUCAUGACCUAAUCUCCUAUAAGUAUAAAGGUUAAAUCUCAAUUAAAUUACUUACUUCUUUUAUUUUUAAAUAAAAAUUUGAUCUUCUGUAUUUAUUUCAUUAUUUGAUUUGAAUUUCUUUUUGGUGGGGGUGGAGUGGAGUCCUCGGAAUAGACAAAUUUCUCAUAUGUAAGCACUUUGCUUUCCAGAUGAUUAAACUUGGGGGGUUUUCAAAAUUAUUAAACCCAUAAAAAGAAAAUAAUUGUUAUUUGCCUUUAAAAAAUCUUUAAUUGCUUAAAUAAAUAAAAGAAUAAAGUAUUUAUUCGCUAUGCUAUUUAGGAUUAAGAGAAUAUGAAGCAAACCUUUUAUUAGUCAAACAAUAGUCAAUUUAAAAUGUUUUAAGUUACUUCUUUGGUGUGCUAAAAUAACCUAAACAAAAAAAGGAAUAAAAAUAAACCAACCAUCAAUAAAAAAAACAAUUAAAAAAAAGUUAGUAAGAGACUUAGGGUUCCAUAAGAAAAUAAUAAUCUACUAAAGUUAUUGGGUAAUAUUUCACGUGAUGUAAAAAAAAAGCAUGUGACCCAAAUUAAAAAACUAUUCCCUCUGUUUAAAAGAGUAAAUUCAAUUAAUAAUUUAAGAUAAAUAUCUAAUUUAAGUCGGAACUAUUGAAUUAUGUUGAAUCUGUAUUUUCAUUCAAUCUAAUCCAUUUAUAUAGCAAAAAAAUUGAUCUAAUAAUAAUGCAAUUUAAAUUGUGUCAUCUUGACUUGAAUUAUUUUUUUUCAUGUCAUGUUUACCUCGCUAAAUAUAAUUUUAAAUUUUGUUUUAAAAACUUUGUCAUUGCUAAGAAGCAUGAACUUUAGCACAACAAUGAAGUGACAACAUUUUUCAUGUGAUUGAUUUCUAGUUCUUAUCAUAAUUCUUUGAAAGAUAUGGAUUUUUUAUUUAUUUACUUUCCCUUUCUAUUUUUCAUUUCCUUUAAUUUUCCAAGUUUUCAAUUAAAAUUAAAUCUUCCCUAAAAAGACAAAAAUAAAUAGGGAUAACAUGCCAAUCACAUGAGAUGAGGUCCUAAAAUGUUGGUUUCUUGAAGGUGGGGCCAUUUGAUUGGAACAUUUUCAUAACAAACAUUUAUAAAAAUGAGGAUUUUUUUAAAUAUAUAAUUUACAUAAUAAAAUUUUAGAUCAAACAUGAUAAUAGGAGGUAAAAUAAUUAAAAGUUAUUAAGAUCGAAUGAAGUACCUGUUUAAGUCUUUUUGAAUCGUGGACAAGUAGACAAAUUGGAUAUUCCUAUCUUGUUGUGACGGCGUCUAUGAGAUGACAACCUCACUCUAUCUUGUUGUGACAGCGUCAAAGAGUCAAAUAAGUGUCUUAUAUAAGAGUUAGAGUAGAGUACCUAAUUGCAAAUGAUGAAACCUAACGGGCCUUCUCAUUGCGGGCUUUAUUGACUAAGCUUACAGUAUCAUCUCACUAAACUUAUCAAGCUCGUUAAGUAUACAACUUAAUCUUCAAUUAUCAUAUUAUAAUUGAAAUCACAUUUUUGAUUUGCUAUACAACUUAAAAUAGUUAAAACUAUAUAUAGAAUAUUUUAAAUAUCGUAGGCACAUUUUCCCAACAAAUAUUUAUCAUUUUUAGAUUGGAUAAAAAAACUUUACCCGCAUAAUGAUUUAUAGUUGUUGCUAUAACUUCAAUGCAUAGUAAUUACAUUUUAUGUUUCAAUUUGUUUGACUUGUUUCAUAAUGUGAGAGUCAAGUUAACUGAUGUUAGGUGUGAAUUUGGAUAUAAUUUUUUUUAUUUUUUUGAAAGAGAAUUUACAUAUCUAGAAACUACAUAAGAAUUAUUAUAAGUCGCAAUAGUUAACAAUGCAAAAUAUUUAUAAUGUAUUUGAAAAAAAUAUGGUAAAAAAAUAUCCAUUAGUGAUGAAUUUAUUCCAUGUUUACAUUGGAUAAAAUCACGGGAUUACUUAUUCCGAAAAUAGUUAUUAAGGAUUGUCGUGUUGUUUUUAUCCCAUGUGAAUGAUAGAAUAACUAAUCUCACAAUAAUUAUCUUGAAAUAACUUAUUUCUUAAUCAAACAAGUGUAUAAUCGGUAAAAAAAUCAAGAGAAAUACUUGUGGGGAUUUGUUUUUUUUUUUGUUUUUUUUUUUUCAUUUAAUGAUUUUCACAAUUUGAUCGUCUCAAUCAGCUUAUCUUUUGAAAGUCAUUGUUGAUGUUUAAUAUCCAAUCAAAUGUGUUUUUUUGGCUUUAAUAUCAUGCUCUUUUAUAUUUUUAAAAUUCAAAUUCACUAAAAUUUUAAAGUAUUUCUUGACAUCACACCUCUUUGAUUUUCUUUUUCAAUAUCUUAUCAAAUAUAAGGUCUAAAAACUAGAUUUAUUUAAUUCAAUUUUCACUGUUUAUGAAAGUGACAAAAUUUACUUGUUAGGAUUUUACUUUGAUUUUUUUUAUCCUUCUUAUCAUAUUGGAGUUUUACUUUUUCUUUCGAGGAAAGUCAAAGCAUUAUUAUCAUAAUUGUUUUUAUUCAAAAAAAAUAUAAUGUUCUUCCAUAUUUGGUUAUUCUUUCCUUAGAGAAAAAGUUUGGAACUCUAUAAUUUGAAGACACCUCUUCUCAUACCAUAACAUUAGACCAUCCAUAAAAUAGUCGUUAAAGAGUUUUGUUUAAGGAGAGAGUUUUUCUCUGAAUAGUUUUAUACUCUCUUUUAUAUUAGGUUUUCAUACUUACGCCAAUUGGCCAAAUCAUAUAAUAAUAUUAUGUUUUAUAAUCAGAUUUUGAUUUUAAAAAAUCGGAUUUGAAAAGAAAAAUGAUAAAAUAGGUUAUGUAACGACCGGGUUCCGUCGUUAUAGAAAAGUCAACGGGAAAAUUUUUUGGGUCGGAAAACUUUUUCGUAGUAACUUGGAAUUUCUCAACCUAGUCCAGAUUUGGACUAAAUUGGAGUCAUCAAAGUCUAGAGAAAUCUGGUAGCAAUUGGGUGAUCUAAUUAUGAUUUUGAUCACAUGAGUAGAUAGAUAAGUCGUUAAGGAAUCCGUACGACUUUACAUAAUUGAAUUCGGGUGAGUAGAACUCCCAAAAUUGAUCUUAGCGUGAACGGGAAGUUUCUGAGUGUCGUUGGUUAAAGGUGUGUUGUGAAAUGGGGGUGUUGGAAUUUUUAAAAUAGCUCACUGUUUCGUGCAAGCUGCUUUGGCGGUGAUUUCGGUCGCCAGGGCGGGGCCGCUGUAGCGGGAUGAGAACCGCUGUGGCGGGCCAGACGCGACUUAAAGUCGUAAAUAAACCCCAAAAACGUUUUAUUUUGUAUUUUUUGAAUUUGAGAGCUAAAGAACGAACACAGAUCUUUUCUUGACGGUUUUCCACCAUUCUUGAGGCUAAAGGUAAGAUUUUAAUUCCUCGAAUCCAUUUUUCGAUCCAUAGAACGUAAUCUAAUGAGUAAUUAUUGAUAGGGGAGGGUUUUGAUUUGGAAUUUAUGAUGGAAACCGCCCUAAUUGGGGGAUUGAGAUCAUGGGUAUGAUCUAGGGUUGUUAGAAUUGCUAUUAAUCCGGGUAAUUAGUGAUUGUUUAUUGAUUCUCAUAUUAUAUUGAUUAUUUGUAGACCAAGAACAAGCAGAACGAAUCCGGAAAGGGAAUGAUCAAGUUUCUUAGGGUUUCAAGCUUGUUUCGAGGUAGGUGAUGGUAGUGGUUCUAUGAUUGUGUGAUGUAUGUUUGUUCUUGCAAUUCAUUAUGAUACAUGUAUGUAUGUAAAUGUUGCAUUAUUGAUCACAUUAAUUGUAAAUGAGGAUAUAUGAAUGAUGGAUGCCACGAAUCAUGACUUGAUUGUAUGAUUAUGAGAAUGUACUUUGUGAUUGUGAUUGUGGCUUGUUGAAUGGAUCGGUUGCCACGUUCCGACAUAAUUAUGGGAUCGGUUACCACGUUCCGACAUAAACAUUGGAUCAUGUACCACGUUUCGGUAUGCUAACAGUUUGGGUUUGGAUUUCAUGAGAGGACCAAUGAUUUGAUAUAAUUGUGUAUCUUGAGAAAUGUGAAAUUGUUCGUUGUUCAUAAAUGAUGAUGAUAUUGUAUAUGCUCGAUAUAUGCAUGUGAUUAUAUUGUUGUAUUGACUUAUGUAUGUUACACUUAGUGGGAUAGGCGUGUGAUCCUACCAGUACACUAUGAUUGUGUACUGAUACUGCACUUACUUUUUCUUUGUUGAGUACGGGGUAUCUUCAGGCGGCUAUUGACAGACCUCGCUUAGAAGAUCAGUGAUCGCCGAUCGAAUUCAAGAGUGAGCCAGUUCUUCCAGGCUGCCAUGAGUUCUCCUUUCAUCUAUGUCCACAUUUCAGACUUAGACUUUUCUAGUUAGUUGUUAGUUCAUUAGUUGGGGUUGUAACCCUUCUUGUUUAGACUUUGGUUCAUUGUUAGAUGUUUUGGUACAUUGACUUUCAUGUUUUAGGUGUAUUUUCCGCAUUGUGUAGUUGUUAGAUCUUUUGGAAGUUUAUGAGAACUUCAGUCUUUAGCUAUUUAACUUGCUUCCGUAACUUAAAUGUUUUAGUUUUUGGUUUAGUUGUCUUGAUUUGGGUUGUAGUAGUGGUUCUCCCACUGGAGGGUUAGUGUGGGUGACAAUCACGACGGUCUGGGUCGUGACAGAUUAAUAGUGAAUUUUCUCUUCGGCAUGAAAAUCUAGGGUUCUCUCACCUUAUUUCGCUUAUUUCAAAGAUUUUCGCAAUACGUUUCCCAGAUUUAUCACAAUUACAAAAUCGAGAUUUUCACCAUAAUUUGUAUGGACGAAAUAGUGAGUGCAUUUAUAUCUUCUGCUCAAGUACUAAGUAUGAAUUAAGAGUAUAAAUCAUGCAAAAUGUUAUUUAGGGUUGAGAUUAUAAAUAUUCUCUUUACUUGUAAAUUUAAAAUCUUUUAUUCAGUUUUUUUUUCAUUGCACCAAAAAGUAAUACUGAAUGAAAUUAUAAGUAAAUUUGAAUCCACUAAAUUUUGAUUUGCUAAAUCUAUCUUCAAGUAUAUCAUAUACAAUAUAUUUUAUCAAAUUAAAUAACUUACUUUAACAAAAUGUUGACUUUAGGAACACCCUCAUCUCAAAUUCCUUCUUCUUUUUGGGCAGGUUUGGUAUUUGCACAUAUUUUUUAAAAUAAUAAUUAAUAUUUCAUUAAUUAAUAUUUAAUUUUAAAAAAUAAUUUAAAAAAUAAAUAAUUGAUAUUAAAGAUAAAAUAUUUUUUAAUAUGAUGAACAAUUAAAACUGAAUGAAGAGUAGACUUAUUCAACCUCUUAUUGACGGCCUCUAAAAUGUGAUUUAACAUAAAAAUAAAUUAUUCCAAAUAAAUCAUAUAAAAUAAAAGAUGUCAUUUCUAAUUUCCUUAGUUGUUGAUAAAUUUUGGUUUGGCCUAAGUAUAUUAAAUUUUUUAAUUAAUUAAAUUGAGCAAAUAUUUUUUGUGUGUUUUUGCUGGUAAAUAUUCUUAAAUUUAUCAUAAUUGUUAAUAGCUUUACCACUUAAUUAAUCAUGUAUUAUAUUAAAUGUAUACUAUAUAAUAUAAUUCUAUAAAUACAUAUAUCGUCUGUUACUAAAUAAUUCUUGUUCAUUGCAAUGUCUACUAAAAUUGACCAUGUAUGGUUCAUCCGAAAGAAAUAAUUAACAAAUAUUAGUCAAAAUUUUAAGGUUUAUAAAAGAAAAGAAAAAAGACCCUUUAAAAUAUUUAAUGAGAAAAUUAAUUACUCCGAUAUAACAGCUGACUUUUAAUUAGACUAGGGAUAACUCUAAAAAAUAUCCUCUUAACUAUAGAAGGUUACACUUUCAUAAUCAAAUUAAAGUGAUUUUAUGAUUGUGCAAUUGAUCAAAAUCAAAUAAUGGUUUUGAGUUAUUUUACAACUUUCUUUAAAAACAAGACAAGCAAUUACCCCUCAAUUUAAAAACGAAUUCAGAAUUUAAAGUUUAUGAGUUUCUGCAAUAAUUUUAAAUUAAUUUAUAAUAAUUACUGAGUUCACAAUCACAUAUUUAUAAAAUUUUAAUAAUUUUUUUAAUACAUAUACAAAGUACAAGUAAAGACUAUUGGAUUUUCGAAAAGUCAUACUCGAAGAGCUGGAUCUGCCCCUGCCUCAACUUCCACCACACUUACUAUUUUGAAUAAAUAUAUAAUCAUUUUCUUUUUUUAAAAUUUAUGAAUAUUGAAUUCUAGUCCUUUUAUAGUUACUAAAUUCUAAAUCAAUAACGUAUACGUAUUCAAUAAAUCUCUUAAGACAAAAUAAAGAAUCUGGAUCAAAACAAUAGCAUUCGACUAAAUCUAUAUUCUAGCUCCGCUUUAGUCAUAUUUAAAAAAUAAAUCGACUUCAUAUUAAAUAACAUGACUCGUAAAGUAAUUUUUUUUUACCGUGUAUAUAUAAAUUCAAUCCUUAUUAUAUAUACCUAACUUUUCUAUCAUUCUAUGUAACAAGUAUCAAAAUUAUCCCAUCAAUUAAUCCUUUACAUGUUCUAUGUCGAACUAUUCUGAUUACAAUUAAUUAAACUUUAGACCAAACUUUUUCUAAUUAAUUAUCAAAAAUUUGGGCUAUUCUACUGUAGCCUGUAGGUACUACCUACCAGAAUUUAAUUAUUUUCACCUCAUAAUUGAUUCCUCUAAAAAGGGAGAUGUGGCAAGUAAAGUGCUUAAAUGUUCAUAUGAAGUUUCCUAAUAUUGUUUGUUAUUCCAUAAAAAAAAAAUAUUAAUUUAUGUGUUAAUUAAGCAGCCAAAAGAUGAGGUGGGAUAUUUCUAAGUAAAUAAUUUUUGUUUGAAAUUUUUGAGAAAUGAAUGUCAAAUUACCAUAGAGAACUAAACCUACGAGUUGGAUCAAGGGACAAUCUCAGAUAAACAAGUUUUUCUGGAGUGUAUACUUCCAAAAGGCAACAAAGAUAAGCAAAGGUUUUAUGUAGCAGGACGAAAAUUGACCCUCGAGUGCAAAGGCAGAAAGGAGCUUGACUGCAGAUCUACCCAUCAUCCGAUCCGUCGAGCAGGGAUGAACUCAUGAAAGUCGGUCUUGGUGAUCCAUUGUUACCGAGUGAAAGAGUCGUCGUUACUAUAAAAAUGACAAGUUGAUCAUCCCCAAGAGCUCACAUCGACGGAAGGAUUAGGCACUUCGAUGUUGAUUCCUUGCAACCUAAGAAUGUAGUGUGUUUCAAGGUUUGUAUUAUUUACCUAUUAUAGCGAUAGGUGAGAUGGGUUCAGAACGUCAAACUUUCAUAGGGUUUAAAAUGUCAAAUUUUCAUACCAGAAUGACUAUUUAUUUUACACCAAAUGAAUCAGAUCGCAAGUGAAAGAAAAACAUGUAUAGCAAUAAAAAUGACAUAUCGCCUACUUAUCGUUCUCGCUCACAAACCAAAAAAGAUUCCAAGAUUUUAUACAUUGGAUUCACACAGGCCCAUUAACAAAUUAAAUUGAGCCCAUUUUAUAUCUCUGCCAGUCCACUUUUUAAGUCUUGGAGUUGUAGCCACAUUACAUCCGGUAGCCACUUUUAAAUUACUAUUUAAACUAUAGCCAGUUUAAUAAAAUUAUUUAACUUGUAGCCUUCGACAAAUUUCAUAGAUUUUUAUUUAAUUUUGACUAGUUUCAAUUGAAAAGGAAUCAACUAAAUUGCUUUAUCGAAAUGAAUGAGGUAAUCAUGAGUGAAAUAAAAUGAAUGAAUUGUCGAAGCUCAAAUAAGAGUCUGAAGAUUUUGAACGUCAAGUCAAAUUUGAAAUAAAAGUAUCUAAAUAUCUGAAGUUUACAUAAAUAAUAUACUUAACUUUGGAUAUUUUUAUAACUAACUUCAAAUCCCGUAUAUAUCUGAAGUUUGUAACUUUCUAUGCGACCAUCUUUUUUUUUAACUAAACAAAGUUUUACCCUAAUGGUAAUCACUCAAGUAGUAGUAACUCUUAAUUAGGAAGUACGUAAAGCAUAAGAAAUUAAGAAAUCAAUUUUCAAACGUAUUUCUAUUUUUGAGAAAAGAAGUUUUCAGAAAGUAAAAUAGAUAAAACAAAUUUCUUUUUCUAUACUAGGGAAGAAAAUUGAAAGACACAAACGAAAAUAGGGUGGAGGUAGAAGUACGGAUACGAGUUCAAUUGAAUCAAUUUAAUAACUUUUGCUCAAAUAGUAUAUGUGUACUGAAAGAUUCAUUAAAUAUGUACAAAUAUUACGUUUAGAAUUCUUACUCAGAUAUCUCAAGUUUGAAUUCUUACGAAUAAAAAAAUUGUAUUAAGAACAUCGCCCUCAAAAAAGGAUCCUGCAAUACAUGAAUCCAAAUUUAGUUAGAGUGUAUAAAUAUCAAACAACGAGUGAAUCCAAAUUUAAUCGAAUCCUGAUAUAAAUAUCAAAUAUCGAACGAUUAUAUUGAAGAGACUCUAAAAGUCUUCAAAAUAAGAAGGGAGUUGGUACUAAGUACAAUUUUCUACCAAAAAAAUGAAAUUUCUUCAACAAAUAUAUACGCCUUUUCACAUUAACAUAUUGUCAUCUAUUUCUUAAGCAUCACAAGUGAUGUAUACUUCAUACUUGUAAUGGUGACUAUCUGACUUUUAAACAAUAAUAUUAAAUGCAUUGAUAUUAGGGAUUUGGGAUGUUAAUAUUUUUAGUCGGUUUGCGAAAAAUAAUUUUACUUGCAUAGUCGUAAUUGUAAAAUAUUAUUGUUGUCGGCUUAUAUUCAAUAUAUAACAAAUGUAUGAUAAAUUUAUACUCACUAAUUAUAUAAGUACUAUACACUAUAUAUCGACUAAAAUUUGUAAAUAAAGUUAAACUCAACAUAUCUCAUAUAUCAUUUGAUUGAAAUGUCUUUUUGUAUAUGCAUAAAUUUAUGUAUUAUUUUAUGUUCGAUUGAAUGUUAAAUAAGAAUAUUAAUAAUGCGAGAAUUAGAUUGUUUAAAGAUAAAAAUAUGUUAAAUUAAAGUAGGAAGUUCUUGUAUUACAAUUUCUACAUUAUUAAUUACCAUACAUAACAAUCUACCUAAACAAUUCCUAUAUUACUACUAAUUAGAGUUCCCGAAUAACUUGUUUCAAACAAAACGACCCCUAAAAGCAGUGGCGGAGCCAGAAUUUUUAAUAAGGGGGUUCAAAAUCUGAGAAGUAAACACACGAACUAGUGGAAGGGGGUUCGACAUCUAUUAUACAUACCUAAAAAAUAAUUUUAACAUUGUAUAAAUAGUAAUAUUUUCCGCCGAGGGGAUUCGGAUGAACCCCCUGUAUAUGUUGCCUCCGGCCCUGCCUAAAUGUGUGUGAGGCUAAAAUCUACAUUCUUUGAACCCCCUCCCUCCCCCACCCUACCCCCACCCCCACUUCAAAUUUAAAAAGUAUACUUAAUUAAUAUAUCAAAAUUGAGAGUCCUUUUACUAAUGAGAUCAACUAUUUUGGGACAAUUGUUUCGUGUAAGAUUUUCAUUGAGUGAAUAAAUGAAAAAUGAUAAGUGCAAUACAAGCUAGAUAACAUUUUCUUUGGAGAAAAUACAAAGUAUUAAAGUAUAUAGGUUUAAAAAUAGCUUAUCCAUGAAGAUAUAGUCAACACAAGCCAACUGAGUAAAGUCGUAUUCGUCCUAUCAUAGAAGAUAAACAAUAAUAAUAACAUAUCUCGUGAUAUUAUACGUGAAAUUUGAAAAUCGAAGAGUAAUAUAUAUGCAAAUUUAAUUUAGCUUUACUGAUUACAAAAAAUAUUUUGAAAGACUUGAGAUACAAUAAAGUAAUUUUUAAAACAGACUUGCAAAAUAGAAAAAAUUAAAAUAUGUGAUGAAAAUAGCUUAGGAAAACAUGACAAACAUAAGUAGUAAAUAAAGCCAAAGUCUCCUAAUUAUGGUAAUUAAAUUAUUAUUGGAAAAACUUCCUGCUCAGAAAAUUAAUUUUUUUUUUGAAAGGUAUAGUAAUUAGAUAAGGGCGAUAUUUAGUUUUUUUUUCAAAAAAAAAUUAAAAAUAUUAGAUAAUAGUACCUAAAUUUAUUUUCUCCAUUUUGUACAAUUACAUUUUUAUCGAUCAUAAAAAUAGGUUGUAUUUAUUAUCAUAUGCCAAACAGUUGUAACCAUAUGCUACACAAAUAUUUUUUUUGAAACAAAUAUUUGUUUUCUCACUGCUAAAAUAUAACAUUAUAAUUGCAAAAAUUAUUGAAUAGUCGAGGUUUACGUAUUUUUUUUUUGUAAAGGCGUAUAAAGCUUUUAAAAAUAUAUAAUAUGAACCGAAUCAAGUAUUAUAUUAUCUACUUGCAAUAGCUCAUAUAUAUAUAUAUAUAUAUAUAUUAUUGGUCAUGAGUUGGGAAAUUAAACUUUAUGAGAUCGAAUCUCCUAUUAUUUCUGAGUAGCAUAAUGAAGUAACAGUCGAUUGUUAACAGAUUAAUCAUAGGUUUGAAUCCCUCUUGGAGAAAUUUGAUCGAUUUUGAUUUUUUUAAAAUUCCAAAUAAAUGGAUCGAAUUUGCUUGUCUUUUUAUUUCUAUGGCAUAUGUUCUAUUAUGUGUGAUAAAAAAAAUCACCAUCAAUACAUUAUACAUCAAUUUAGAUUCGAUCAAGAUAUAUAUUAAUACUCUGUACAUAAUAUAAAAUAUCUUUUAUUAAAAAUGAUUUCAUAUCCAGAGUUCGAGAGUAAGGUGAUAGUAGCCACUAGACAACAAUGCCAUAAAAUUAUUUUAGUCUGAGCUCAUGACUAACGUGAUCUUCAUUGUUGAUCUUCCAUGCCAUGUGAUCAUUUACUGCCACACCAAUAUAAAUUUAUUCAGUGGGUUCAAUUUUUCUCAUUUUUCAAAUAAAUUAAUAUACUUUUCUUCCAUUUAAGUACAUUUUGUACAAAAAGAAAAUGAACAUGUUUGAUUUAUAAGGGGAAUUAAGUAGUUGCAAUAUUGAAUUAAUUAGUACCCAAUGGCAAAAUACGUACUAAUUCACAAGACUUAUUUAUUUCCUAAGACUUAGCUAUAAAUAUACACAUAUUUAUCUAGGAUUUGAUUCUGAUUAUUCACAAGCAAAUGUUUUUUUUAUGGUGUCACCAAUUUCAUAAAAAAUUAUCUUUUAUCUUUGAAUGAAGUUAGAUAGUACUAAUUCGAUUAUUUCAGUUUUGAAGUGUCAAAUAAGCAAAUUAAAAUAAAUGCUAACAAAUUGAGUUAAUAAAUAGACGAAUUGUUAAAACUUAAACCAUUCAUUCUUUUAUAGACUAAUUUUGUCACCCAUACUGAUCUCUAAUAUACAAACUAAAAAAUACAGCUUGUCUUGGAAAUAAUUAAAGUAAAAGUGAAUAAAACCAUAAAAAAGUGCAAAGCAUUUUUGCAACUCUCCAAUUGGUACACAAAAAGAAAAAAUAAUUGGUGAUUGUCUUUAUUUUAGCACCAGAAAGUCAAUGUGUGUUUGCUGGAAAAGGUAAAGAAAAUAAAUAAAUAAACCAGAAAGAAAUUAGGUUGUCUUAAGUCACACUACUGGUGAUUUUGAUGUAUAACUAUAUGCAAAUUACAUCUUAAUUAUUUUUUUAUUUUUUACAUACGCUCAAUUCUCUGUUCAUAAUUGGUUGUCACAUUUCACUUCUUGAAAGUCAUUUUAUGUAAAUUAUGAAAGUAUUUACCUGUCUUAAAAGAUGAUCGAUCCAGAUGGAGUUUUGGAACUAAUUUUCUUUGAAGAAUUUCAAUUUUUUUCCCUUCUUAGAACCAUAUUAUAAUAUCUGAAAAUCACUAAUUUGACUAAUUCAAGUUCGUGUCACGUAGUGUCCAUUUAAGAGAAUUUUUGCUAGCUAGCUACCAGAAAUUUCUUCAUUUUCAGACUCAAAUUCAAAAAUUCUGAUAAGAAUAAAGAGAUCUCAGACAUCUUAACCAGAGGCGGAUAUAGAGUAGAAGUAAUAAAAAUAAACCCGAUAUUUUUAAACACAAAAUAUAAAAUAUAUGUAAAGAUUAGUAAAAAAGAAAUAAAAUAUUGAAUAAUGAACUCAUGAUUUUAAAUUUUUGGUAAAAUUUUGAUGCGUUCAGUAAUAAGAAGAAUCUAACUAUUAAAAAUAUUAAAUAUUAUAAAUUUUGAAUUCGCUUCUUAUUCUAUCAUAAUCCUUGAUAAAGAACUAUAUGAUAAUAUUUUAAAAAUGAAAAGAGACAGAAGGUGAAUACAAAUUAAAUUAGAGCGCCAUCAUAUGAAAAUGAUGGUUAAUGAUCUGACUGAAAUUAUUGAAAAUUAGUUAAGUAAACACAUCUCAAAUAAAAAAGAAUAAACAUAUUAGCUAUAUUAGAAAAGAACAAAUGUGAAUUUCCCAAUUGGACUAAAAAAAUAUUCAUUUCAUAGAAAUUUAUUAUGAAGUAUAAAGAUAAUCUACAUGGAGUUUAGGAGCUAAUUAUUAUAUUAAAGGAUGUUAAUUACUUUUUUUAAUCAUCUAUUAUACAAAAAAUGUUGGUCUGACUAAUCCAAAUUUGUUGUGUGUGCGACUGAUCAUAUUGAAUGAGUUCCUUAAAAAAUGCUUCUUCAUCACUUGUGAAAUUUUUCGUUAAAAGCUAAGAGAUCUCAUCCAUCUGACCAUAUUAAUCCCUUGUAUUUUUGAAAUGAAAUGAGAUAGAAAAAGACGAAUACAAAUAAAACGCCAUUAUAUGAAAAUGAUGGUUAAUAAUCUCACUAGUAUUUUUGAAAAUCCAUAGUUAAUCACAUCAUGAUAAACCAAGUGAAAUAUGCAUAAAUUACCCCUUUUUUAUGUAUAAAAUUAAUGAUUUAGCUAGUAGCAUAAUAGAAAAGCUUUUGAGUGCGAUUAAUUAAUUGCACAUAAUUAGGUAUGAAAAGGGAAGUUCAAAACUUUUAUGAGAGGCUUUAAGAACCUUUUGAUUGUUAAUUUUUACCUCCUCCGUCUCAAACAAUCUUUCACAAUUUUUAAAAAUAAUUAUCUUAAAUUAUUUGUUAUUUUAAAAGUUCAAGAUAAAUUUUUUUUUUCAUUUUACACUUGAUAUCUUAAAACAGAAAUAAUGGGAAAAAUAUCAAAAUUCUUUUUAAAUAAUAUUUUUUAAAAGACGUGUAAAAGAAAAACACGAUAAAUAAUUUGAGACAGAAAAAUCGAAGAAAUCAAGAAGCUAUAUAUUAGCAUCUUAGCUCACAACCAUCAAAAAUUAAAUUAAGUGUUAAUUCAAAUUGAUGAAGCAUUAACAAAAGCCACUACUGCUGUCAAUUUUAGAACCCAAAAUUAAUUUUAUGGUGCCAACAAUUUUAAUGUUUAUAUACUAAUAGUGUACAUAACUUCUUUUUUUAAAUACUAUUAAUGUAGUUUAAUUUCUGUGCUAGUAAAACAAUUACCGUUCAUACAAAAGCGAUUCAGUAUUUUGACGUGAAACAUAAAUUUAAUAAAAUUCACUGAAUAUAUAUAUAUAUCAUUUAAUUAUAAAUACAAUAAAUUUAAUGCUAAUAACCAUAAAUACUAAAUUAAAUCCAGAAUUUGCUUAUACAUUUAUAUUAGAUUACCUAGCUAUUAAUGUUUAUAAAAAAAGUUGACUAGUAAUUAUUUUGAGCCAGUAAUAUAAUUGUGUGAAUAAUUUACUUUGACUAACGUUGCGUAUAACUUAAACAAUUUGACUAAACCACUCAGAGAAAUUCUAGCAUUUAAUGCAAAAUGAAAGAAAGCACUACUUCAAUUCAAUUAUAGGCAGACAAUUUUUGUUUUUAACAUUGAAUUUUAUAUGGACCAUGAAAUAAUGUUUGACCUUGUUGUCUGAAAGCAAAAUAGUUUUGAUUCAAAUUAAGAUCAAAACUGUUUUCUUAUGAUGAACAGAUAAAAUAGCCAUUAAAGAAAACAGGUUCUCAUAAUUAUGUAUGAAUCCCAACUCUGAAUGUGGCAAACGGGUAGUAGUUGAAGCAAAUUAAUGCAAAAAUAUAUCAUCAAUGCAAGAGCAAGAAAUGUGAAGUUCUCUGGCAAGUAUAUAAAUCCCUUUGGAUCUUGAUGCCAUUUGCUCACAUUAGUUGUCUGAAAAAACAGAAAAAAUAAAGGUGUCACAUACAAUUCUAAAUUUAUUCUUUGAAGAUGAUAAGUGAGGGAGUGAUGAGGGUAGGGGUGUUAGCAUUACUUUGCUUUUAUGUUCUUGUGGGGAGUGUGGCUUUCGCUAGAAAUGUGAAAGAUUUUGAGGAUGAAAAGUUUUUUACUAUUGGUGAGGGAGGGGGAUUUGGUGGUGGUUUUGGUGGUGGUGGAGGUUUUGGCAGUGAAGGUGGUGGAGGGUAUGGUGGAGGCGGAGGAGGUGGUUAUGGUGGAGGUGGUAUUGGAAAAGGUGGUGGAAUUGGGGGCGGUGCAGGAGGCGGCGGUGGAAUAGGCGGAGGAAUUGGGGGUGGUGCGGGAGGUGGAAGAGGAAUAGGUGGAGGCAUUGGUAAAGGUGGUGGCAUUGGCGGAGGAGUUGGUGGCGGUGCAGGAGGUGGAGGAGGAAUAGGUGGAGGCAUUGGUAAAGGGGGUGGAAUUGGAGGAGGAGCUGGAGGUGGGGGAGGAAUAGGUGGAGGCAUCGGUAAAGGUGGUGGCAUUGGAGGAGGAGCUGGUGGCGGUGCAGGAGGUGGGGGCGGAAUAGGUGGAGGUAUUGGUAAAGGUGGUGGCAUUGGAGGUGGAGCUGGUGGCGGGGGAGGAAUAGGUGGAGGCAUUGGUAAAGGUGGUGGCAUUGGAGGAGGAGCUGGUGGUGGUGCAGGAGGCGGGGGUGGAAUAGGUGGAGGCGUUGGAGGUGGAGCUGGUGGUGGGGGAGGAAUCGGUAAAGGUGGUGGUAUCGGAGGAGGAGCUGGUGGCGGCGCAGGAGGUGGAAUAGGUGGAGGCGUUGGUAAAGGUGGUGGUAUUGGAGGAGGAGUUGGUGGUGGUGCAGGAGGCGGGGGUGGAAUAGGUGGAGGCGUUGGAGGUGGAGCUGGUGGUGGGGGAGGAAUUGGUAAAGGUGGUGGUAUCGGAGGAGGAGUUGGUGGCGGUGCAGGAGGCGGGGGUGGAAUAGGUGGAGGCAUUGGAGGUGGAGCUGGUGGCAGUGUUGGUAAAAGUGGUGGCAUUGGAGGUGGAGCUGGUGGCGGUGCAGGAGGCGGUAUUGGUGGGGGAGCUGGAGGCGGAAAAGGAGGAGGAAUUGGUGGUGGUGCUGGUGGAGGAGCUGGUGGUGGUGUAGGAGGAGGUAUCGGCGGAGGAGCCGGAGGUGGUGCAGGAGGAGGUAUUGGAAAAGGUGGUGGCAUAGGAGGUGGUAUUGGCAAAGGUGGCGGAAUUGGUGGAGGAGGUGGAAUUGGCAAAGGUGGAGGCAUUGGAGGUGGCGUAGGUGGAGGUGGAGGUGGUGGUAUAGGAGGAGGAAUUGGUAAGGGUGGUGGUGUAGGAGGAGGAAUUGGCAAAGGUGGUGGUAUUGGUGGUGGUGCAGGAGGAGGAGUUGGUGGUGGUAUCGGAGGAGGUGCCGGUGGUGGUGGUGGAGGAGGAGGAGGAGUUGGUGGUGGUGUCGGAGGAGGUGUCGGUGGUGGUGUAGGAGGAGGAGUUGGUGGUGGCAUCGGAGGAGGUGCCGGUGGUGGUGGUGGAGGAGGAGGAGGAGUUGGUGGUGGUGUCGGUGGUGGUGCAGGAGGAGGAGUUGGUGGUGGCAUCGGAGGAGGUGCCGGUGGUGGUGGUGGAGGAGGAGGAGGAGUUGGUGGUGGUGUCGGUGGUGGUGCAGGAGGAGGAGUUGGUGGUGGCAUCGGAGGAGGUGCCGGUGGUGGUGGUGGAGGAGGAGGAGGAGUUGGUGGUGGUGUCGGUGGUGGUGCAGGAGGAGGAGUUGGUGGUGGCAUCGGAGGAGGUGCCGGUGGUGGUGGUGGAGGAGGAGGAGGAGUUGGUGGUGGUGUCGGUGGUGGUGCAGGAGGAGGAGUUGGUGGUGGCAUCGGAGGAGGUGCCGGUGGUGGUGGUGGAGGAGGAGGAGGAGGAGUUGGUGGUGGUGUCGGAGGAGGUGUCGGUGGUGGUGCAGGAGGAGGAGUUGGUGGUGGUGGUGGUGGUGGUGGAGGUGGAGGAGGAGUUGGUGGUGGCGUUGGAGGAGGUGUCGGUGGUGGUGUAGGAGGAGGAAUUGGCAAGGGUGGCGGCAUUGGAUUUGGUGGUGGUGGUGGCGGAGGAGGAGGAAUUGGUGGCAUUGGAGGAGGUGCCGGUGGUGGAUUUGGAGGCGGAUUUGGUGUAGGAGGUAGUUUAGGUACAGGUAUCGGAGGUGGUUUUGGUGGAGGAGGUGGUGGUGGAAUUGGAGGAGGUUACUAAAUAUCCUCUAAUAUCAUUGAACACCAAAUUAAGCUGCUGCAAUGUUAUUAUUAUCAUUAUAUUUUCAGAAUUGUAGUUCAUUAAAAUUACAUGUAAUGAAAUGAAAUUCCUACAUCAAUUCUAUUCAUUAAUAGAUACUAUAUGGUUACAUGCAAUAUUCUUUUCCUUUAUGAAGCACACAACAAUCUCCAUCAAAUUCAUGAAACUGAAAUAUAAUAUUUAAUGUGCAAGAAAUUAAACAUGAUGCCAAAAUGAACAUGCUAUAUUAUAAAGCAAAAAAUAGCUAAUAACAUUUAAAUUGUUUUCCUCUAAUAAAUUAGCAGAAAAUUUUGAGAUAACUGUCUCAUUUGCACUAGAAGGCAACAAUCUUCCUAAUAUUUCAGCGAGAAUAUUUUAAAUGUCGCGGGUCAAUGAUACACACAAUAAAAUUGUCAUGCUUAGUCAAUAUCAUAAAUAUCACUGAAAUCCCGUAAAGACGGCUUGACUCAAUCCUGUAUUCUUAUCAUAUUUUUCAUUAUCCAUCUGUCAAAAGGCAAUAGGCAUGGGCGGAGACAGAAGGAUGCAAGGGAGUUCAACUAAACUCCUUCGUAAAAAUAUUAUACUAUGAAGAUAGAGUAUUUUUUUUUUUAAAUCUAUAUAAAUUAUUAAAUUUUCUUUAACACAAAAAUAACUUUUUUAUUCUCCUUGUUUGAAUUAGCGACUCCGCCAAUGACAAUAAGAACUCAACUUAAUUAGUAUACUGCUAAAUUUUCAUUUCAUUGUGUACUUAACAUAAGUAUAUCUAUAAUUUUUUAUUUAUUUUUGGCUAAUGAUGAUAUCGUACUCAACUUGAAGGCACCUCGAUUAUUCAAUCACAUACUUAUUACCUCACACAUAUACAUACAAUAAAUUAAUGCUAUUAUGCUAAUGACUUGAAAAUGGUUGUUGCAUGAUAAAUAUAUAUUAAAAUUUUGCAAGAAUUAAAGAUGAUUUAAAUCUGAAUAAGUAAACAUUUACUAGUUAAUCUAGAUGUUAUAUGAGUCCAAUAUAGAAGACAUUAUGUAUGUUGAUAAUUUUCAGGAUGAACACACAAUUUUUGUUAUUAUUUUUUUUAAAAAGUAAAAAUAAUAGAAUACCUAUAAUUCAAAUUCUCAACCAAAAUCUAAUUUUUGAGUCACCGUUGGCAUUUGGCAUUGCACUACAAAGGUUUUAUUACCAAAGAGAUUCAAUAAUAUUUUAUAAUUAUUUUUAACUUGAUGUACAAUAUCUAAAAUUCAUUUUCUAAAAAAGACAACUUUAAUGUAUAUUUCAUUUGAAUUGGCUCAGAAAAUAAUCAAAAGAAAGAGAUAAUAGCCAAAACUAUAAUUGAAUAAUCAUUUCUUUUAAGAAUUUCAUAACUAAUUAUCAUUUAAGUGUGUUUCAAUACAUAGAUAAUGAUAGUUCAAGAAUGAAAAAAGACAAUUAAUAUUUAAUGGAUAAAAUUCGUGAAAAAAUAAUAAUAAUUCAAGUGUGUGUUUUAUUAUUAUCUCUACAAGAAAAUAAGUAUCAUAAGUGAAUCAAGAAACAUGAGAUCAUCUCAAGUUCAACAAACAUCAGGUGAUUUCUUUCUAUCUUCAAAUUUUGAUGAAUAGAAUUAACUAUAUUGAUUGAAAAAAUUAAUUAAAAUGUUCGCGGAGAUCAGACCGGACACCAUGAUUAUAAAAGAAAAGAAAAAGGUUAUAGCCCUAAAACCCCUUUUAAACCCUUUACAUUUCUGGGACUGGGGAGUUCCCAUUUUCAUUGCAACAAAAUCUCUGUUAUCAAAGGUAAAAUUACUAAUACAAAAUUCUAUCUUAUGUAAAUCCCUUUUAAUUCACACCUCUCCAUGUAUUAAAAAAUGGUAGAAAUUAACAAAUAAUUUUAUUUUUUAUAUAUAUAAAAAGGGAGAAAAGAUUUCAGCUUUCCUUCUCCUUCAAUUUGGGGUUGUUUGUUCUUGUUCUUGUUUUUUUUAAUUUUUUUUUUUUUUGUUAAUGGUCAGUAUAUUGAAGCACUAAAUUGUGGUUGGUUUCAGAUUUUAACUACAUAUAUUCAAGAUUGCUCCUUUUUUUGUGUUUUUUUUUUAGAAUCAAGAAUGUAAGUGAACAUAUUAAAAUUUUGUUCUUUUUCCAGGUUAUUGUCAUUUUGUGCAAAAAGGGGGUGUUUUUCUAAUCUAUAAGAGUUGUUCUGGUGAUUUAUUGAGUUGAAAAAUGCCGGAUAUUGAGAGACUUGUGAAUGAUUUUGUUGCAAAGCUCAGCAAACGGUUAGUACUGCAGUUAUAGGAAAUAUCUGAAAGAAUCACUUGUUUGAUUUGAUUGGCUAAUAUGGUUAUCUGCUUUUCUGUUUUUGAAUGAUAGUAAGGUUGAAGGGUCACAAGCAACUUCGCGGCUAACAGCAGAGUUGCUUCGUUCUGUAGUUUCGUUGCAAAGAUUGCCACCUACUAACUCAGCUGCAGUGCUCAUUGAGGCUGUGAGCGGUAUAGGUGUUAAAUUGGUUGCUGCCAACCCUGUUGGUAAGCGUUUUAUCCGCUAAUACAUGAAUGAGGAUCUGCUUGUAGAUAUUUUGAUGUUCUAGAAUGGAAUUUAUUUUUUUAAGUAUACGAGUUAUUCAAUCCUAGUUGGUAGUGGAAAUUUGGAUGCUGGGGAUUUCUUUUAAGCGUAUAGGUUGGGACAGGAUAUUUGUCUCUGUUAUGCAGUCUUCUUGUGUUCCAAAUGAACGGAAAAAUUCUUUCAAUGAUAUAUUUGCUUCGUGUCUAGUUUGAUACCAGUUGCUUCACUUGCUCAAAAUAUAGAAAAAAAUUGGAUAUGCCUGAUUAACUAGUUGUGUUAACUUUGUUUACUAGUCAUGUGUAGGAGUAGGAGUAGGAGUAGGACUUAUUUGAUCUAUGGGUUUAGUGUAAGUCAUUAACUGCAGCUGCUGCUCCAUUUGUUUGUUUCAUUUUAGGACUCGAAUGCUGUUAACAUGUAGUGCUAUACUUUUUUUUUGUUGAAAUGGUAACAACUUUGUAUUAAAAUCAUAAAAAGGCUGUGAAAGCCAUAAUUAAGGAGAAACUGAAGCAAAAUAUAAACUGUGAGUUCCCAGUGAAACGAUUUGAGUGUGUUGAGGAAUUCAGUGAUUCUGUCCACCUCCCAAUCAUUUAAGAGUCUCCUGAACUGUAGUUCCAACCUUGAUUUGAGUGUUGGGUGUACUUCUGCACAUUUUCUUAGGCAUGAACCCCAUGUCUCAUUAUUUGUCAGUCCAAUUACUAAAGGAUGUGUAUAUAUAUGUAAAAGGGCCCGGUGCACGAACAUCCUGCGUUCACGCAGGGUCCGGGGAAAGGUCACAUCUGAAGGUGUUGUGUAGGAAGCUAUCCUGACGCAAGCAUCCGUCACUAAUUUCACUGCUUGAGCCCGUUGAUUUCAAUGCAAGGAUUGUCAACAGUACUUCAAAUUGAUACCAGUUGCUUCACUUGCUCGAAGUAUAGAAAAAAUUGGAUAUGCCUGAUUAACUAGUUGUGUUAACUUUGUUUACUAGUCAUGUGUAGGAGUAGGACUUAUUUGAUCUAUGGUUUAGUGUAAGUCAUUAACUGCAGCUGCUGCUCCUUUUGUUUGUUUCAUUUUAGGACUCGAAUUCUGCUAACAUGUAGUGCUCUACUUUUUUUUUUGUUGAAAUGGUAACAACUUCGUAUUAUAAUCACAAAAAGGCUGUGAAAGCCAUAAUUAAGGAGAAAGUGAAGCAAAAUAUAAACUUUGAGUUCCCAGUGAAACGAUUUGAGUGUGUUGAGGAAUUCAGUGGCUCUGUCCGCCUCCCAAUCAUUUAAGAGUCUCCUGAAACUGAAGUUCCAACCUUGAUUGCUCCAAAUGUCAACCCUUUGUUUUUUAUUUAAAAUGAAAACAUUCGGAUAUAAGAGCUUGAGAGAGCCAUCUCCUAUACAGUUGUCCUCCCAAAAGGAUGUUUCAAGUCGAUUACCAACUUUAGUGCUUAUCUUGCUGCUGAAAAUUUGCCAGAGAUUUCUGAUAGUCUUCUGGACACUGACCCCAUACACAAUGUUGAUUGAUUUUGUCUUCUAUGGUCUUCAUCUCCAUAAUUAUCUUUGAUCACCUUCUUCCACAAAGAUUGAUCUUUGUUGGAAUAUCUCCAUAAUCACUUCAUGAGCAGACUUUGAUUCUGCUUUCUAAGGUUCUUUAUACCUAGUCCUCCUUGCUUUUUACCGAGGGUAAGAGUUUUCCACUUCACAAGGUGGAAGCCUCUUCUUUCCUUGCCAUAAAAGUUUCCUUGUUACUCUCCUCCCUCUGUCAAAGCUAAGACAUAUACCUCUGCUAUGCUAACUAUUUGCACACAUGCACAUUUAGGGAGAGGAGGAGGAGGGAGAAAUGGUGCCCUAGUUUCGAUUUAUUUCACUGUUUAGGUGUGCUUCUGCACAUUUUCUUAGGCUUGAACCCCAUGUCUCAUUAUUCGUCACUCCACUUACUAAAGGAUGUGUAUAUAUAUGUAAAAUGGCCCGGUGCACGAACAUCCUGCGUUCAUGCAGGGUCCGGGGAACAGUCACACCUGAAGGGGGUGUAGUGUAGGAAGCCUAUCUUGACGCAAACAUCAGUCACUUAAUUUCACUGCUUGAACCCAUUGAUUUCAAUGCAAGGAUUGUCAACAGUACUUCAAAUUGAGAAUUUAUAGUAAAUUAAUGACUUCUGAAUUCUGAUAGCACUCUAGAUUAAGUAAUCAUAUUUAUUUAUGCCAAGAAUGAUAUAACCAAAAUUUGAUGAAAUUGCAGAGCUUGCUGUUGGAAAUAUUGUUAGGCGUGUUCUUCAUAUUAUCCGGGAGGAGGAUCUCUCUCUUUUGACCAGUAAAACGAGCGACUUAGAUUUAUCAGCUGCAAGUGAUGAUGAAGGAACCAUAGACCAGGAUUAUGACCCAACUCAAUCUGCUGCCGCAGCUGCAGCUGCAGCUAAGAGUUUUCUACGGCCUCCUUCAUUGCAUGCACUUCUGGAGAAUAUGUCGGAUAAAGCUGUACCGAGUAACAAUUACACCUCCUCUUCAGGUGGAGAUUCUGAAGAGAAAACCAAAGGUAAAUGCUCCUGUGCUACAUGAAUUUGAAGCAAUCUAGUCAUUUUUUAGUUUCAGUACUGAAUUAUCUGUUAUUCUGUGUUGCAGCUGAUAAACUUGCCAGGACUCGGAAGUUAAAGCAUGAUGUUAUUGAGGCAAUUAACAUAUUAAUUGAAGAUAUUGAUACUUGUCAUGAUCUGAUUGCAGAACAGGCAGUUGAGCAUAUUCACCAAAAGUAUUUACCUUUCGCAUGUACUGGAAAAUGUGUCUUCAUUUUGUUAUGCACACUACAUAUUUCAAGUAACAUUGUAGCAUGAUUUGAACACAUGCAAUGGAUAUUGUCGUUUCACUGUUCCCCAUAGUUUGUUGUCCAGGGGUUUUCCCUUUGCAGUUCACAAAAAAAUUAUGAUAGGUUACUCAAGACUUACAGCUUGGGUGCGAGGAAAAUGCUACUUCCCUUGAUGGAUAGACAUUUUAUCUGAUAAAUUAACACAUUUUCUUCAUCAGUGAAAAAUCUACUGUUCCAACCUUACUGUGAAAAUGACAAAGAUAGGUUUGUAGCUUAAACAUUUUGCAAAAUAUGUGGUUGCUUUCCUUCUUUACAUUGCUCCGGGGUGAUAUUGUUACAAUCAUUAUUGCAAGGCAAUUUUUUUUGUUGUUUUAACUUUCACCUCUAAUGUAUUUAUUUGUUCUUUUUCACUCUCUUUUCUAGGCAUAUAGCUGCAUAGUUGUGGUGAAUGUAUGUAAUUUAAUUAAAAUGUGAUAGCUAAUUAACAAAUGCAUUUUUUUCAGUGAAGUAAUACUAACACUAGGUAGUUCGAGAACUGCCUUUGAAUUCCUCUGUGCCGCAAAAGAGAAAAAACGGUCUUUUCGGGUGGUUGUUGCAGAGGGCGCACCGAGGUUUGUGGAGUAUUCUGUAAUUUCCGAGAAAUAAAUGAAACAUGAACCUUCUUUUUCAUUGUAACUGUAAAAUUUCCCCUCUUUGUUUGUGCUUGAUCAGGUACCAGGGGCAUGCUCUUGCAAAAGAGCUGGUAUCAAGAGGUCUACAAACUAUAGUUGUAACAGAUUCUGCUGUUUUCGCAAUGAUUUCUAGAGUAAAUAUGGUAACUUUCUGGAUUGGCUAUUUUUAUGCGUUGUACCAAUCUGUAACCUUGUUCUGCUGCUUCGGCUACCUGCGCUCAGAACCGUAACCUUGUUCUGUAGGUUAUAGUGGGAGUUCAUGCAGUGAUGGCCAAUGGUGGUGUCAUUGCACCUGUUGGAAUGAACAUGGUUGCACUUGCCGCUCAAAAGCAUGCUGUUCCAUUUGUCGUAGUUGCUGGCAUUCACAAGGUAUCUGAGCUUUAUUAUCUCUACGUAUUACUCCCUCCAUUUCAAUUUGUUUGUCUUACUUUCUUUCUUAGUUUUUCAAAACGAAUUCCUCUUUCCUUUUUUGGCAACUUCUUAAUUCUAACUUUCCACAUGACAUAUUUUAAGGUCACAAGAUUGAAGGGCAUUUCGGUAUAUUCCACAUAUCUUUAGUUUAAGACCACAAGAUUAACAGUCUUCUUUAUUUUCUUAAACUCCGUGCCAAGUCAAAACCAACCAAACAAAUUGAAAUGGAGGGAGUUUUUUUUUCCUUACCCCUCCCCAGGGUUCCAGACUUUUGCUCCUUUGGUGACUUGAACCACAAUCUUAGAGUUGGAGGUGGGACGUGCUUACCAUCCGUGCAACUCCGAGUCUGAAAUGGAGGGACUAACUAUCAAAAAGGUAUUAUUAAGGUGUGUGUGUGUGGGGGGGGGAGGUUGGAGAAGAGAAAGAGGUCAUGAGAACUAUCAACUUGUACAGUCCAACCGUUUAAGUGGCUAUUCUUUUAACUUAACUAUUGGCGAUUUUUAUACCUCUUGCUGAUUAUCAUUCUCAAUUUAGAAGGCUCUGAUAACAUGAGAAGAACUCAGCUUUUCAGGUUUACUAAAUGAUGUUCAGAACCUUUAAAUGGUGUAUAAGGUUGAUGUAAAGCUUUGCAGAUCCUUGAAUCCAUUUUGAGUUGACCAUAAAGUUAAUCCUUUUUACGCUUGCCACUAGAGCAGCAAACUCUUUUUCUACUUCUCGCUGUACUUAUCAUUAGCUAGUCCGUUCAACUGUUUUCUUUCUGCUACAGUUGUGCCCUUCAUAUCCACACAAUCCAGAGGUUUGUCUGAAUGACAUGCGAUCCCCUGCUGAACUUCUCGAAUUCGGGCGAUUUUCAAACUGCAUGGAAUUUGGAAUGGAUAGUGGGGCUCCUCUUCAAGUUGUUAACCCUGGUUUUGAUUAUGUGGCACCUGAGCUUGUCAGCCUUCUCAUCACCGACAUGUGAGGAUUCUUUACCAUUUUCGAAUUUUUAUUUGUCUUUGCAACAACGAUGCCUCAAUCCCGAACUAAUUUUGGCUUGCACAUAACAAAGUAGCUUGGAUAAUACAGUUCUACAUUGUAUCAUCUACUAAUAUACAGGAAUCUUUUGUUUUGUUAUGUUUAGUAUAGGUUAAAUAAUUAAUUCAUGUUCCAUUCAGUAUUGAUGAUUCAAUUUACUUUUCAAAAAAAGAAGUAAAUUGGACUUAGACAGACUUAAGGAUCAACAUGGACCAUGAGGAUUAGCCGACCCCACCUUGCUUGGGAUUGAGGUUUAGUGGUUGUUGUGUUUAAGAGGGCGUGCAAGGGGAAUUCGUAAUGUAUUAAUUUGCCACUUUGGGAAUUAAUAAGCAGUUUUAUGAUAAUAAUACUCCUUGCAUCUUUCUGAUCUACAGUGGAGGGCAUAACCCGUCAUAUAUGUAUCGUCUCAUAUCGGACUACUACUCAGCUGAUGAUUUUGAUUUGCAAGGGAGGAUACAUAAAUGAAGGUGAUUCUUCCUUUAAAUUCUGGCUUUGACUUCCAAAUAAUCUUUCUGAACAUUGAACAUGUUUGUUGGCCAUUUUUAGGAGAAAAAAUUGACUGCUUCAGCAAUGAAAGCUACUUUUAUUAUUUAACCCUGGUUAAUUUGCUAUCUUCUGUACAUAAUGUCAAAUAAAAAUAUAAGAAAAUGAAUCUUUUUAUAAAGCGUCUAUAAACGCAUCAGAAUCUAUAGCAUAGCAAGAACUAUAAAGAAGGAAAGAAAAGCAAAACAAAGUUUUAUCUCAAUUUCAGACUACUGCAUUUCCUAGCCUUGGAUUAACUUGAUUCAGUGCUUAUAUUGGGUGCGAGUAAGUUUUUACCUCCUGAAAUCAAUCUUUGUUGGCGAGUUACUAUGUAUCUUUCGUCUAUUAGACUCUUACUACGACCAUACAAAAACUUGUGUGAUUGUUGCUUUAAUGAGUUUUUUGUUUUUGCAGAAAGUAUCUUGAAGCUCCUUACUGAAUUUAAGCAAUACAUGCUGAUUUCAGGCAUCUUUUGGAGAGCUGUAGUUGACUGAUGAAGAGAAGUGGCAACCAAAAAAUCAAAUGGAAUGUGUUUGUUAUCUACUUUGGUGGAUAGCUUUAAAUGAGCUUUUUAGCAUAAACACUUUCUGAACAUACUGUACUUUGUUCAGACUAAGUUUUGACUUGUUUAAUGUAAUGUAAUGUGUCCAAGGUGGUAAUAUUAGUUUGUUUCGUUCUUGUUAUAGAUGAAUGUUUAGAUGAACUUUACCUCUUGAAUUACAUCAAUCCUUAUAUGCAUUUGUCUCUCUUGAAUGUAAAGGUUAAACGAGUAUCGCGCACACACAAAUAUAUACCUCACAGGUCUUUCGAGAGGUUAAAGAGCAUCUAACGCAAAAAGGACCUUUCAUUCCCUUUUUUGCUUGUGCAUAACCACUCUUCAGAAGCACCCCCAGCAUAGAGGGACCAAAAAACACCUUUCGUUCUUCACCCUUAGUCCGCGACUAAGUGGGGAUUAUCUGAACUUCAGAAGCAGUGUCAACAGCCUGCAUUUCCAGGUUAAAUUGUUCUUUUUUAAGAUAUGAGAGAAUAUUGUUGGUAUUCAUGAAAGUAGGUGAUCAAGAUAUGAUUGGAGAGUAAUAUCAUGAAAGCAUAUAACUACAAAUUAACAAGCAAUGCCAAAAAAUAAAGUUAUGGUUUUUGAGGGCAUCAAAAUUAGUGUCCAAACAAAUAUGCUCUCAGGUUCCAGGUUCUACUUCUUGCUGAGAUCAAUUCCAGCUUUCUUGGCUACAGCAUCAAGUCCAUUUUUCUCAAUGGUCUUUAUGGCCUUUGUUGAAAGCCUCAGUUUCACGAAUCGCUUGCCUUCCUCCCACCAAAUUCUCUUGUAUUGAAGGUUUACGAAUUGCAACUUUUUCGUUUUGUGGUUUGAAUGAGAGACCUUGUUUGCCCUGUUGGACUUCUUGCCAGUGAAGGGGCAUAUUCUACCUGAAAAAACAGAAUGUACUCUUUUAAUAUUCUAUACCGUACUUAUCACAAAGAGGAGACAAGAUAUUUGAGCACAACCGACAAAAAUGCAUGAAAGCAAGGGGGAAGGAAAGAUCAUGAUGGUGUAAGGCAAAGGAUGAUUCAAUAGGAAUAUUUGAUUACUCUUGUCCCUAAUUUUUUUUUUAUUUUACCUAUUAGCUCAAAGGCUUUAAGUAGUUUUGGACUUAAAAGACAAAGGAAUUCAGGAUGCAGUUUGACAAAUGCAGCAACAUUAGAAAGGGAGUCAAAGCAAGAGUGUCAGUGAUAUAGUGCUCCUAAUGACUCUCAUAAUGUGCUUUCUGAUUAGUAAACUAAAGCUUCAUCAAUAAUCUAAAAGCCAAAUACUGCCAUUACUGGACAUUACAAAAGAAGUCAACCCUUCACAGUUUGUUGUCAUACAAUGAGCACGAAUUAAUCAAGUUGUUAUCAUCAUAUUCAAAAUAUAAUGUACACCAGAGGGGCUAACACACCGAAGAUUCAAUUUCUGUAGAUUUUUCCUUCCAAAUCUGCAGCUAACACACUCUCUCAGGCUCUCAUAAUUGGUUUCGCCUUCUUUUUCACUAGUUUGGUCACUAAGGAUAAGGACACAAGUGGGUAAGUAAAUAUUAAAAAAUUACACAGUGCAGAAGGUGGAUUUGAGAGGUAAAUGAAUUUACCAUAUUCUUGAUAGCGAGAAAUCUACUUUCAUAAGCUUUGGAUCUCAUUAAGCUUUUAUUUCACUAUUAGGCUGCAAGUUUCAUGGAGAGAAGAAUAGGCAGAUGGCAAGCUCCAGACAAUGAAAACUUGCCAAAAGGAAAUCCUGUUCAUUAUCAGGAAAGGUGAAAGCAAGAAAAUGAAGCUCUGUCUUUAGGCUGCACUCAGUUAAUGAGACCUAAAAGGCCUCAACAAGAAGUAUAAUAUCUUCUCAUGCAUAUAGUAUUUCUUUUGUAGCUUUGUCUAUAAAUUGCAGCAUAGGAAUGCAAACUUUGUUAACCAAAAAACUGUUGAUACCAUCUAUAUAAGAAAUUUAUCCUAAAAUACUUUAUAAUCCUUUACUUGGACAAUCUGUUAUGUCUUAAAUAUCGGCAAUCCCUAAGUCAGAGAACAAAGAGCCAAGGAGGAAAAAGCCAGGGAUCAUUUAGUAUAUGAAGACAACUAUGGACAAACUUCCAAACUAUAUAUCAUAUUCUAUCAAUCUUGUUCUUAUUAAUGCAGUUAACACUGCAACUCCCUUAAAUCAGUUUGAUGUAGUCCAUCAAGCUCUUCCCAGUUCUUUAAUUUUGCACAUGAUGAGGUUGUCCUAUCCCUAUUUAUUGCGACUGGACUUUUAAACCCCUGGAAUGAUGACACCCCUUUAAUCUCCUCUAGAAGUAAGAAAACAUAAGAGGUUGUUUAGAUAGUAGACUAUAAUAUGGUUUUUAAUCAUUGAUUUUGAUGUGUAACUUGAUAUGUGAAUUAUAGUCAAGUGCUCAGUUUACCAUACGACAGAUUUCAAGAAAACAAUACAUUUAGUUUGCAAAUUGCAACUGAAUUAAACUUUUUCCAACUUUAGCUAUGUCUUCGGAUCCUCCACAUUGUAAGGGAUAAUUUUCAUCCCAUAUCAGCAGUACUAACUUUCACUUGUUACUGAACAAUCUAACGUGAUGUGUUGUUAACACAAAGCAGACAUCUGAAUUCUAGACACCAGACUACUAAAUGGGGACUCUGGUAUGGAAGUAGCAAUUAUCUGAGUACCAAACAACCUCAUGAUGAUUUCGGUCCCGUGACCCUUCGAGUAAGGCCACUUCACACACACACACACACACAAAAAAGGCUCCCUGCACCAAAAUGAUGAUUUAUCGUAUUAACAUUUUAAAGUUAUCAUCUUUUCUUGUUUCCCCAUCAAUGUUCAAGAAGAACUUACUAUCCCUAGUUCAAGGGUAGAGGGACCGAAGGUGUAUACCAUACAAUAUCCCUUUAUAUUUGAUCCAAUUAAUCGAAAUUCAGAAGCUGAAAUUUCACCUCUACCAUCAAUAGGUCUACUAGGUUAAUAUUUCCGCCCCUCAAACACGUAACCUUCAGGUCAGCAAAGGAGCAACCUUGCAAUUGCACCAAAACUCUUUUUUUAUUUUAAAUAAUGGUAAUGUCGGGUCAGUUUGCACAUACUUGAACAACCAUUACCUUAAGUAACAAGUACUUAAGAAAACUUCAAAUCCUCAGAUACAAUUUCUUUAUGACAAUUGUGGUGUAUGGCCCGUAUGUGCGCACCUCGACUAAUUCUAAGGUUACCUACUGCCUCCCACAAGCACAAUUUCUUACACAUAAGUCACUUCAUUAACGAAACCCAACAGUUCACUCCAACAAACAAAACAACAAACAGUUCAUGUGCACAUCAUUAGACCAAAAAAAAAAAACCAACAACUAAAAACACAAAGAACACAACAAAAUGGUAGAGAAAUUACGAGCAACAGGUUGAAGGGCUGUCUUGAAAGGAACAGAAAGUGAAGCAGGAGAGCUCAAAUUGGUGCUUGAAAUCUUGAUACCACUCAAUUGAGAAGUGAGAAAACUCAACUCUGAGCUCAAUUUCAACUUGGGUAAAGCCCUUUUGGUUACUGCAAAUGUCCUGUUACCACUGACUGCUGGCCCUCUGAGGCUUAUACCUGCCGUGAUUGUCGCCAUUUUUGCUCCAAUUCCUCAAAGCAAGAAUCUUUUUUUUUCUCUCAAGAAUGUUGUUUUUUGAUGAAGGAAGUUAAGAGUGGAUAACGAAAUGGAUGUGGGUAAUGGCUUUAUUUCUUGGCCUUUUGUUUUUUAGCCUUAUGGUGCAAAGGGAUUAUUUUGGCAAUGCUACUUUCUUUUUUCUGUUUGGUAUUCAUAUUCAUUGGACUAAAUUUGAAUUUGUGCAUUGCAAGAUUCAUUUAUGGAAAUAGCGUGUGUUGCAAAAAUAGAAAUGCUUAGACGGAUGUGUUCUCAUAUAUGAUUAGAUAAGAUUAGAACGUUUGUCAAAAGGUGCAAGUAACACGCAUGUGAGGUCGUUUGAGAUGAUGAUUUGUAUGUGUGAAACUAUGGUAAGUGAGUAUGUUAGAUGGAGACUAGGUAAACGUAACUCCACCCGAAAGAAGUUAUCUUGAAAAAACUAUAAAGAUGUCAGCACAAUGUAAAGAAAAAAAUCAUUUGUAUAGGCGAUAAUUACUGGUUGAGGAUAGAUUUGAAAUUUAUUAAAGAAAUACUAUUAUUAUUAUUAUUAUUAUUAUUAUAAUUAUUAUUAUAUAUUUAACUUUUUCUUUUACCUUAGUAUAAUGAUAUAAAGUUAGUUAAAUAAAGGAAUAAGAAUUCAAAUAGCAGACUCCAACUUAAUUGGAACUAAGAUGUUAUCUUAGUUAUGCUUUUAUCUUAUUUCCCAUUAGUUACUCACGUGGAGUCUUAUAUCACAAACCAAACGAAGAGAGUAUUAAGACUAUACCAAAAUCAAAUCAUUACAAUAUUGAACAUCUUUACCCUCUUCAAAUCCUACUCAUCAUAAACCAAACGAAGAGAGUAUUAACACUAUACCAAAUCAAAUCAUUAGAAUAUUGAACGUCUCUACCAUCUUCAAAUCCCACUUAUGGAAUCACACUAAGUAUGCUAUUGUUGUAGUAUAUUAGGAUUAAAUGUCCUUUAUCUCUCGAACCAAACAACCCCUAAAAACUAUCAUCUCAUCAACUGGCCAACAUCAACUAGAACUACAGGCACAAGAUAUUUAGGAAAAAUAACAAGGCAAAUAAGUAGAAGAUUUCAAGAAGCCAUAAGAUUGUGCUCCUAUAUAUUGUAACUUGUAAGUAGUAGGUAAACUGUUGCAACCUAAAAACAAAGUUGUUAAUUUUUAGAUAACAUAUUACAAAUGGCUCAUUCCUUCAUCCCAUUCUACUGGGAUAAAACAUGUAUUCCGCUUCAAAUCGGGUACGACUCUCGCACUAGCAAAAGGUUAACCAAGGCAUCUCAAUAUGGUAAAAAUUGCAAACAGUUAAGCAUCGCGAAAUCCUAUGUUAACGUCGUUCAAGUUUGGGGAGAUCUGCAUAAGGCAUUGAAUGGGCCAAAAGAAAUUAGUUUUGUUAAGCAAACUUUGUCUGAUAGAGAUCAAGGGGAACAUACUCCACAGUCACUAUCCGGUCAUCAAACAGUCGUCCAUGUAAACAAUGAGCAGCCAUGCUUGCAGCUUCUGCUCUUCUAAACUCCACAAGUACACAGCCAGGAUCGAACGCCUCAGUAAUAGAAAUUUCUUCCUUUUUCUCAAGUUCCUCUGGAGCAUCCAACUCUUCUUUCGAUGAGAAUUCUGGUUCAGAAGCUCCAUCUGCAUUUCCAUUGUCUUCCUCUGACUUAAUUGCUUCCUUAACUGGUGAUUCAUUGUUUAUCUCAAGAUGCUCCAGUGGACUGGGAUUAGCAUUUUCAUCUUUCCUUUCUGAAACCAUACCAGUAUGGGUAACCUCGAAAUUUUCUUGGAAGUUUGUCUCUUGAGCAGAGACACUACUGUCAUCUGGUAGAGGGUCAGAGCUGUCGUCUUUUAUUAGCUCCUCAGAAGGUCUAUCAUCGGAAUGACUGCCACCAGCCAAAGCAUCGUCAUCUCCAGCCUUUUGAGAAUCACCUUGUGAAGUUUCUGAUAUAUGUGUUUUACUAUCAGCUUCCUCAUCACUAUUGGUUUCCAUGGGUUCAUCACUGUUGGGGAAGUGUGGCCUACCAACUUCCAACUCAUGAUCAUCACUGUUGGGGAUGUGUGACCCACCAACUUCCAACUCAUGAUGAUCACUGUUGGGGAAGUGUGGCCCACCAACUUCCAACUCGUAAUCAUCACUCCUAGUGAUCGGAUCAUUUCUGUCACACCCUUCCCCAAACUCCAUAUUGCUAUCAUUCAACGUAGAACUAGUAUCCAUAGCAGCAGGAUCAGAUGUGAGAGAACAUUGACUUUGCUUUACAACAUUAAUUGAUUUAACAGAGCCAAACCU
rnacentral:lncRNA from 1 species